AAUUUGUUAGGUAUUUUCACUUGAGAAUAGAGGAGCAUUUUGGUAAUAGAUGGUCAAUUAUGUUAAAGUUGAUUUAAAGUAUUUGAAGUCUAUAGAAUUGAAGUUUCAUAAUUUUUUGGGAUAUUUGGGUUCCACAACGUCGUAAAAACCUUGUGAAGUGACUCUUUAUUUCUUGUUUCUCUAUUUAUAUGUAGUUUUUUUCAUGUAAACUUAUAAUUCAUGUAAACUUCAAUUGCAGCAAUUGCAAGGAAACUGUUACAGUGGAAAUCAACACUUGCAAAGGAAGCUGAUGAAUCUGGAUGCACACCCCUUCACUAUUUAGCCCAAACUUCUAAAAGUUACAUGGUGUGUGAGCUUUUGAAACAUGACACUUCUUCAGCUUACGUCCCAGACGCUAAUGGAUUAUGCCCUGUACAUGUUGCUUCAAGCUGGGGGAGAAGUGAUAUAGUUCGUGAACUUAUUGGCCGUUGCCCCGAUAUGGACGAGUUAGUUGAUAAUGAAGGAAGGAAUUUUCUCCAUGUUGCUGUAGUACACAAUAGAGCAGAGAUAGUUAACUUCGUUUGCCAGAGACCAUUGCUCGUGAAAAUGAUGAAUGCAGAGGACAGCAAUGGAAAUACACCGCUACAUCUUGCUGUGGCAUCCGAGAACCAUCGUAUAAUGAGUCUUCUAUUGGAAAACAAAAGUGUGCACCCAAGAAUUAUAAACAAGAAUGGUCAAACACCUCUAGGUCAUGAAAGAAGAUGGCAUCCAAAAUCACCCCCGCCGCCAAAUCCAUCACCGCCACUGCCACCGCCAUCGCCAGCGCCAGCAUCACGGCCGCCGCCGCCCCCGCCGCCGCGGGCGUCGUCAGCGUCGUCGUGGGAGUCGCUGCCGUCGUUGUCGCCGCCGCGGCCGGAGCCGCCGAAGCGGCGGAGGCUUCUACCGAUUGUAAGACAAUAUCCCUUCCCUACAGUCUUUAAUUUUCAACUAGUAUUCCAAUGGUUUAACUUAGAAUUCAUUGCUUACUAAUCCUNGAAAGAAGAUGGCAUCCAAAAUCACCCCCGCCGCCAAAUCCAUCACCGCCACUGCCACCGCCAUCGCCAGCGCCAGCAUCACGGCCGCCGCCGCCGCCGCCGAAGCCGGGGCCGGAGCCGCCGAAGCCGGCGCCGCCGCCGCCGCCGAAGCCGGAGCGGCCGCCGGCGCCGCGGCCGCGGCCGCUUCUACCGAUUGUAAGACAAUAUCCCUUCCCUACAGUCUUUAAUUUUCAACUAGUAUUCCAAUGGUUUAACUUAGAAUUCAUUGCUUACUAAUCCUUAAAAUCUACUUGGACUAGCAGCUUGUUGCGCUUAAAUUAUCAGCCCAAAAUAUUUUUGCACCCAAAUUGUUAGUAGUAGAGUACUUAAUACUUUGAUAGUCAAUGUUAAUUCCUUUCCAAUCCACUACAGGAUUUUUCUAGUGUCAUGAACUUAGACUUGAAUUUUUCAUCAAAUUAAGGGUUUGAUAAUGUUAUUCGGGGUGGGGGUGCUUGAGAUUGAAUUAAUCUAUAUGGCUAGUUUAAUAGUAUUUAGAGAUCGGCUGACAUCAUAAGGGUACAUUUGGUUUACGCUACCUUUUUAAAAUUUAUAGUAAUUCAAUAUUAAUAAAAAAAUAUGACGAUAUUUGACUAAACGCAUUAAGUAACCUAGUUGGUAAUAUUAAAUUUAUUUGGGAAUGAGAUUCCCAAAAUAUUAAUUUUAUUCUCUUGAAGGAGGGUGGAUAUUAUCAUAUUAAUAGAUUGGGGUAAUCAUAAUAUGUCUAAUAUCUUUCUUUCUUCCUACCCGCCGGCUAGUUGGUAUUAUUUUUUUUUAUACUCUAACCUCAUAUCUCUCUCUAAAUUUAUCUUUUUUUCUAAAUUUAUCUUUUUUUCUCUCUGAACAAAGCUCUCUCUCCCCCUCUUUUUCUAAAAUCUCAACUCUCUCAUUCCCUCUAAUAUCGACUCUAUUUCUCUUCCUACUUCUUUAAUUAUGUUCUCUCUCUAAUCUAUGUUCUCUCUCCCUGUUUUCUAAAAAGAUGUUAAAAUUUUUAGUAGCAUUAUCUAAAAUUAAUUAAAUAAAUAAAUUAAUUAAUUGUAUAUUUUUUGUAAACUUAAAUAACAUGACUAAAUAAUAUGACUGUACAAAUCAAACACAGAAAUGCCACAUUCUUAGUAAUAAGAUGAAUAGGAAUAGAAUUCUCGGACAUCUUUUUAUUCCUAGUAAUCUUUUAUAGUGCGUCACACGCGCCUUUGGACGAGGAGUUCCUGCGAGCCGACCGCUCUUCUCUACCAGCAUUGCCGAUGGUGCUCCAGAUUGGGUCUUGAUCCAAUCUAAAACGGUCUUCAUGUCGUCGGACAGCGUGGUGACCUUGGCGGCAAGGUCGGAUGGCGUUGCCAUCUGCUCGUCUGCAGACAUGGUAGAUGCACUCUUCGUUUUCCUGAUCGGUGGUUUGCGGAAAAUGUCGAGGACGGAGAAUUAUUCACUGAUAGCUUUGUAGACGCUUUUGGUUCGCACUAUACACCAGGAUCACAUGCUCUGAUACCACCUGAUCCGUCGGAAGAGGAAAGCAAUAUUGCAGCGCCUUCCCGAUGGAUAUCUAAAACUAGAUUAAAGAGAAAAAAAAAGAAAGAAUACAAUUUCUAUGUGGAAGAGUUUAUAUAUUAAUUCUCUUUAAAUUGGAGUGAUUUACAAGAGCUAGUAUGACACUAUUAUUAGCCUUUCGGUUUACAAGAAGAUAAGAAUAAAGUAUUUUAAAAAUAAUAAUUUUAGUCUUAUUCUAACCGAAGUAGUUGAAACUACUUUAAUUUUAUUCUAAUCGAAUUAGUUGGAAUCUUCUCGAUUCAUAUCUUAAUCGAAUUAGUUAGAAUCAUCUCGAUCCUUAUCCUAACUGAAUUAGUUGGACCACCUCCGCCUUAUCCUAACUGAAGUAGUUGGAACGGCCUCCGCUUUAUCCGCAACGAUUGAGACUUAUCCGGAUGGUUUGAUCGUACCGGAUCAGAGGGAAAGAGGAAAUGGUGGGGAGAAAUCAAAGAGAGUAGAGUUUUCUUCAGAAGGAUGUAAGAAAUUUGAAUGCAUUAAUUAAAAGGAAGGUGGAAAGGCAAAUAAAAGGUAGGUUAAGAGUUUCAAUCAAGGCGAGACCCACUCUCAAACAAAAGAAGGUGGUUAAAGACAAAAAAGGGUGUAGUAAAUACUAGCAGGUGGGCCCCACAACCAAGACUUAAGCUAAGCUUGCCUCAUGGACAAAAUUAGAGGGAUUAAUGUAGAGUUUAUAAAGAAAUCAAUUUAGUCUUCUAUAGAAGAAUACACAUGUAGAAGUGCUAAAUUAUGCUUUUGGCCCUCAAUCUAUGAGAUGCAUGACAUUUUAGUUCUUAUUUAUUACUAGUUAAGAGCUCACGCUUAGCAAUGGAUAGGCAUUGUUGAUGAUAAUUGUUGUGGUGGAUAUUAUAUUAUUGAUAAAUCUCAUCUCAAUUAGUGUUUAGAAUACAUAAAAAAUGACAUAACAAUCAUGAAAGAUUAACAAACUAUAAGUAAACCAUAUAGUAUAGAACUAACAUAUUUGAUUUAAAAAGUAUAUAAAAUAUAUAUAAACAAAUUAUUGAUUUUUUUUAAAAAUAUUCUAUAACACAAUAACUUUAAUUGUACUCUAAAUAAUGUAAAAAAAACAGAAAGGUAAUGAAAUUAUUUUACUUAUUUAAGUAAUUCUUACCACAAAUACGCAAUUGCAAUUCAAAAUAAAAUUUUUAUUACUUUAUUUUAUUUACUCAGUAAUUCUUACCACAAAUACACAAAAAAAUAAAUUAAAUAAUCAAAUUUCAAAGAGAAUUCACAUCAUUUCUAAUAAUUAUUUAGAGAUUAGAGCACAUAGAAUGAAAUAAUUAAGAUAAAAAAGAGAAAAGUUAGGUUUUUUUAGCAUUAAAAUUGGGCAUUUUAUUAAUUGAUUUAAUUGGCUAAUUUCAUAUAGAUUUGGAAACAACAAAAUGGGAUUACAAAGAAGAUCUCUCAAAAGAUCAAAACUUGAUUAGAUCGAAGAUGCCGCAACAAGCAACUCCAAAAAAUUGGCUUUUCUCUCACCUAUCAGUACAGACCAAUAAAUUGGCCUUAAUUAGCACAUACAGCUAAUAGCACACAAAGCUCUCCAAUAUGCAACGAUUGGUUAAUUAGAGUUGCGGCCUCUCCUCUUAGCCGUACGGACCUCACAACAAUCUAGACUUAAUUAGUGCAUGACUUCUUAAUUUCGUCGCGGCAAUUAUGAACUUGAUCGUAGUAUUUAUAUAUAUAAUACAUAUUUUCUAACUAGAGUUUAAUUCUAAUUCAAUUAGAAUUACACUCCUAAUUAUAUUCCAUAUAUAUCAAAUUAAAUCUAAUUCCAAUUAGAUUAUAAUUUAACUCCAAUUUAAGUAACUACAAAUCUAAACCAAAUAUAACACCUACAAAUUCAAGAUUGCAUAGAUACUUAAUGAGAUGAAAUGAAAAGCAAUGUAAAAAAAUAGUAAUAAUAAAAUAUUGAUGCACUCAAUGAACACCGGUGGAGGCUCCGCUCCGAGCCCACCACGAAGCCCUCUACUCUGAAUUGCACCCCCGAUCCCUGAUAGAAGAAUCAACUGAUCCCUGGUAGAAGAAUAUCAUCGUAAUGCACUCCUCGAACACCGGCGGGGCUCGAUAGUGCCACUAUCGGAGCCUUUCCCGCCGCCACCGUAGGCGGCGACAGCGCUACCAUGGGAGCUGUCAGAGUCGAGGUCGAGGUGCGUGGGGACCUUCGUUGGAGAAGGAGGCGGUAGGUGCGGUGGCAACGGGACGUGUCCAAUCCCGAGUAUCAUGGUACUAGUGCUUCUCCUGAAUAGGGGUUAAGGUUAAAGUUUAAAAGAGAGAGAGAGAGAGAGAGAGAGAGAGAGAGAGAGAGAGAGCGAGCGCGCGCGAAAAGGGAUGGAGGAUGGGGAAAGACAAUGGAUGAGGGAAGGUGGGGCUAAUAAUUGGGUUUAGGCUUUAGGAUUAUUAUUGGGAAGGAGAGAGAGGGGGAGGGUGAGAGAAAAAAAGCAAAUGCCCUUUCGAGAGAGGGAAGGUGAGAGAAAUGUUCUUUGGCCUUCUGAGAAGACAUUUAACAUUCUGGGAAGCGGGAUGUUGGGUGGGGUGAGGAGAGGAGGUCAAAGCAGGAGGAGUAAGGGGGAACGUGACACAUGGCACAAAGAGAGUGUCAAUUCAUAGUUUGUUUUGAAGGGAUGGGCGAUGCGGAAAGAGGAGGGAUGAGGGAAGGUAGGGGUAAUAAUUGAGUUUAGGUUUUAGGAUUAUUAUAGGAAAGGAGAGAGAGAAAGGGUGAGAGAAAAAAGGCAAAUGCUCUUUCGAGAGAGGGAAGGUGAGAGAAAUAUUCUUUGGUCUUUUCAGAAGCCAUUUAACAUUCUGGGGAGUAGGGUGGUGGGGUGGGGUGAAGGGAGAAGGUGAAAGCGGGAGGAGUAAGGGGAACGUGACACAUGGCACGAAGAGAGUGCCAAUUAAUAAUUUGUAUUGAUAAUUUUUGGCUUUAAAAACUUUAAUUUAUUAUAAUUUUUUGCUUGAACUUUAUAUAUUGUUAUAAUCAUGUCCUACAUUAAUUUAGUUAGUUGAAUGUUAAUAUAUUCUUAUGUAGCGCGUCAUCAAUUACAAUGUACAGUACUUUCACCUUCUCCUACAAGGACAUUUUCCUCAUUUGAAACAUGAUAAUAGUAUGAUUCAGGUUCCACAACAGUUUAAGUAUUCUUAUCGCUGACAUCGUUGUCCAAAAUUCGUCUAAUCAAUUCUAACCCAACAACAAUGAAGGUGCACUAAGCAUUUGAUAAAAAGAAUUGAAGAACCCAAUAAUAAACAUGAAAAACUUAUUCUUUUUUAUAGAGGACUAGUGCUCUAGCGAAUUCACCCUCCCGUGAUAGAUCUUCUCCAAGAGCAACUUUGUGAUAAAACCGACCAAGAGAGUUACUGUGCAAACCUCAAACCCUUAUAGCACAUGAGUGCAGCAAAAAUCGGAUCUUAUGUAAAUUAAAAUAGAUGAGAAUAGAGAAAAUAGCACGAAGAUGAGCAAGAAAUAAAAAUCGAGAAUACAAGAAAUUUACAUUGUUCGAGUAACGGUGUAUCGGCUUAUGUCCACGGGCAUGAUCUCCUUAAUGCGUUGUUCGAUUACUCCAUGGCACAACAAAUACAAAGAGUAAUUUGGAUACAAAAAUCUCUCCCUAGAGCUCUUCCAUGUUUACCUCUUAAUUAGAGUCUUACAAUGAAGCUCAAAAAACCUAAACAUGAAUUAUAAGUUCAUAAAACCCUAAAAACCCAAUUCUAGUAGGAAACGAUCUCCUUUGUUAAUUGAAGUCUCCGAUUCACUUCUAGUGUCUAUCUCCGCUGAGAUAUCCUCCAAAAAUAUUUGUGGACCAUCCCUAAUCUCAAAGCAUGAAAUUAAAUCAAGUUGUAGUCAUAUUCGACUCUACAAACUCAUCUGAGCCGAGUUCCAAAACUCAUAGGGAUUCUAGAACACGAAACUUUGCAAUAUGUCGAAUUUGAAAAUUUGCUACUAAAUUCCAAAAUCUCAACCUCAGCUUAGAUUACAUACUCUUGGGUUUUGAAAUUCCUCAACCAAGUUUCAAAAUUUCUCAUUCAGUCCAAAUUUCAUAUUUUAGGGUUCUAUAUAUAAUUCCUCUACCAAGUUCUCGAAGUUGAACAUCUAGUAACUUAUUUUAUUUGGCUUUUCUUUGUGAUACUGACUCGAAACAUGGUUUCACUUUAAUCCAACACUCUGUACAUUGCCGUUGCUAUUGUGCUUGCCAAAGGUUAUCCCUUCUCCACCGACACCAUUGUAGACAAAGAACCACACCUCUCUAUCCUCACGAGGGGAUCAUGAUUGGCAACAAAGAUUUGGUAGGAGGAUCGAAAGGAGACGAGGAAUCAAAGAGAACUAUCUCUAUCUACGACAUCAAAGGUAGGGUUUUGCGGCAUAGGGAUCGAAAUAAGAGAAGAAGAUUGCUAUGGAGCGGGUUGGGGAGAGGGAGAGCUCACCAUAGGAGAGAGGAAGUGGAGAAAAGGAGAUCGAGGUAGAGGGGGGAAAGAUUGAGAUCAGAGAGAAUGAGGGUGGAGCAGUUGAGGGGGCGGGUGGUGCAGCAAUGAGGGGUGGGACAAAAUUUUUUGUGGGAUAGUCCUUAUGGUGAGACAAUUUAAUCCACCACCCAUCAUACUUCGAGAUUCGUGCUAGUUCACAUAAUGGAUGGUAGAUAGGACCAUCUCACAGUAGGUAUAGUCUCCAUAAAAUUUUGGUAAAAAUAUACUUAUCUAAACUAGCCAGCCUUUUAAAAUUUUAAUAUUUUUUACUAUCCAACUUUUUAAUUUGUUUAAUUUGAGUUAGUCAAUAGCACUUUUAGGCUGCGUUUUUAUUUCGAGUAUAAGUAAGAAUUGCUAGUUCUAGGGAAAGGUACAAGUUCAGAUAUAAACAGGAACUAGACCAAUUUUACGUUUGAAUGAAAAUGAGGUUGUUUCAAGGAAUAAGGUAAAUAGUGUUUGGAUGGUUAGAUUGGAACAAGAGAAUUAAGAGUUAUAAUUUGAAAUUAAAAUUAUAUUAUGCAAUUAAUUAACAUCAAAAUAUUACUUAAAAUAAAUAAUAAAUUAAUUAUUAAUAAUUAAUUAUGAAUAAUAAUAAUUAUUAAUAAUUAUUAAUAAUUAAUAAUAAUUAAUUAUAAAUAAUAAUAAUUAUUAAUAAUUAAUUAUAAAAUAAUAAAUUAAUAAUAUUGAAUAUCUAAUUAAUAAUAAUAAUUAAUAAUUAUUAAUAAAAAAUAAUAAUUAUUAAUAAUUAAUAAUAAAUUAAUAAUAGUAUCGAUUAUCUAAUUUUUAAUAAUAAUAAUUAUUAAUAUUUAUUAAUAAAUAAUAAUAAUAAUUAUUAAUUAAUUACUAGUAAUAAUAUAAUAAUAAUAAUUAUCUAAUUAUUAAUAAUUAAUUAUAAAACAAUAAAUUAAUAAUAAUAUAGAUUAUCUAAUUAUUAAGAAUAAUAAUUAUUAAUAUUUAUUAAUAAAUAAUAAUAAUUAUUAAUAAUUAAUAUAAAUAAUAAAUUAAUAAUACUAUCGAUUAUCUGAUUAUUAAGGAUAAUAAUUAUUAAUAAUUAUUAUUAUUUAUUAAUAAAUAUUAAUAAUUAUUAUUCUUAAUAAUUAGAUAAUCUAUAUUAUUAUUAAUNAAUAAUAAUAAUUAUUAAUAAUUAAUAUAAAUAAUAAAUUAAUAAUACUAUCGAUUAUCUGAUUAUUAAGGAUAAUAAUUAUUAAUAAAUACUAUUAAAAAUUAUUAAUUAUUAUUAAUUAAUUAUAAAUAAUAAAUUAUUUAAUUAUUAAAAUAAUAAAUAAUAAUUUAAAUAUAUUAAUUAGAUUAAUUAUUAAUUUACUGCCAUUAAAAUUAAAUUUAGAUUUUGAUUAAUCUUGUUCUCAUCAAGGAACAAGCUUGUUCCAGUAAAAGGGUGGAACAACAGCCUUAUACUAGCUUGUUCUUGAAAUCCUGGAAUUACUGUUCCUGGGUACCAAAUAUCACGUUUGGGAAAGGAGGGAACAAUAGCUUAUUCUCCUCCUUGUUUCCGAACUAAAUGCUACCUUAGGAAAAGGCACACCAAUCAUCCAAUAAUUCACUUACAAAAAUUGGCCGAGGGUUGAGGGAAAGACACACCAAUCAUCCAAUACAACUCGUCAGGAAGAAUAUUAUUUUCUAGGGUUACGAGAAUUAGGUGGUCAUAAGUUAUAGCAAUUUAGCAGGUAAUUGAAAGGUUAAUAGUUAUUAUUAUUAUUUUUUUUAAAAAAAAGAGAGAUAGAUAGCACGCUACCCGCUUCAUUUAUUUCAUAUUAAAAGGUUAAUAGUUAUGGAAAUGAAAAUACAUAAGUUAUGAGAUUUAGAAAUUGAAAAGGUACAGAUUAUAGAAGGACACCAUGAAUGUAUAGAAUAUGAAAAGAUGUGACACCAUGAAUGUACAGAAUAUGAAAAGAUGUAACUCCUUGAGACAAGUAGUGGUCAAUGACAAAAUAAUUUUAUUAACAAAAUGUUUCAACAGAUAUUAAUCCAGUUUGUUUUUGUUUCCGCUUCACAAAAGCUUCAUAUUGAAGAAGCAAGCUACUGACUUGCAGUUUUCUUUGUUUCACGGUAAUGAACUGCCGGUAAACAGGAUAGUAAAGUGAUAGUUAAUUUUGCAAACCACAUGGCAUAUUUUAUUAUUUUAUAAUAUGCAUUUUAUCACUCUAUGGUUUGAAAACAGUAUAACUUUUUUUCAACUCUUUUAAACCGUAGGUCUUUUAUAGUAAAAUGAAAAUAAAAUUGCAAGAUAUUUACAUGCAAUUUCUUGAAUUUACAGCAUGGUAAAAUGAAAAUGCGCUAGAUCACACCGAAGCAAAUUGAAGUUUGCCCUAAAAGAGGAAAAAUAAUUAUUUACAUUUUUUUUUUUUGGUUGUUGUUGUCAAAUAAGCACCUUAAAUGCAAGGAUUGCAAGCAAUCCACAUUCAUUCCUACACUAAUUCAUAUAGAAAUUUUAUUUAAUAAAACAAAAAACCGACAAUAAUGCCACAUGUACAAUGCCCUCCUGUUUUAUUAAUUUGUUUAUGUUUUUUCAACAAUUGGACGUCCUAUAAUCAUGUAAUUAGCCGAAUUAGUGUAUGAAGUUUGUAAAGAGUGACCCAGUAGUGGAUUAGUCUACGGCGCAAUGGCCAAUUAAAUUUGCUUCGUUUAUGGGAGUGAAAUGUGUAGUGAGUUCAGCGAAAAUACGUGUUCAAUGAAGUUUUUUCUUUGCUAACAAUUUUUCUCUUUUGUUUAAGGAGUGGUUUGUAGCAAUACUACUUAGCAAGUUUCGAAUUAAACAUUUUCUCUGUCUCUUUGUGGUAGCUAGCAGGUAUUAAUGACUACUGAGGCAGUAAGGCAUCAUCUACUAAACUUGUAGAGAAGUUAAGAAUUUCAGCAGUCAGCACUAACUAAUUUAUUUGUUUCAGAAAUAAGUGAUAAAAUUAAACUCGAUCUUAACUACUGGCACUUGGAUAUCAAUCUAGUUUGUUUCUAUCUCAAUAUCAGGCACUCAUUGAUCAGGAAUCGAAAUAUUUCCCGAGUCUUGAAGGAGAAGAAGAAGAAGAAGAAGAAGAAGAAGAUGAUGAUGAAACUCUGUUCUGGCGGGAAUGGGAGCGGAUGGACAAUGAGUUGCUCGACAAAUUGAGGCGGGGGGACGAGACAUUAUUCCCACCUGAAACAGAUGCGGAUCACCGGGUCAUUGAGGUUCGUGGUAAUGGUAAUGUCGGUAAUCAAGCAGGGCGCAGGGGUUGCCGAGGAGUUACCGUCGGCGGAAACUCGGCCCUCCAUAUCGUGGCUACUUUCGGGCACUUGGAGCUCGCGAAGCGGAUCUGCGACAUAGAUUGCUCCCUCCUGGAGGCACGCAAUGCGGCGCUCGAGACGCCGCUGCACUGUGCUGCGAGGGCCGGGGCAGACCAAAUUGUGUUCCUCUUUAUUUCAAAGGUCCGCCAGGGUGAGGAGGCGGUACUCCGCGUCACAGAUCGGAAAGGGAAGACAGCAUUAUAUGCGGCGGCUGAAGAAGGUCAUGACGAGGUGGUGAGAAUUUUGUUGUCUAAGGAUCCUGAGCUGGCGGGUAUCGUCGACUAUAAUGGUGUAUCUCCACUCUAUGCUGCCGUGCUGUCGAAAUCGCUCAAAGUUGUUCAGAAGUUGGUAGAAGUCCUUGGUGACAGAGGGGACGCGCCAGAGGCAUCCUAUGCCGGACCGAAAGGCCAAACUGCACUGCAUGCAGCCGCCAUCGUCCAAAGCCCAGGUAGUUAACUUACCUGCCUAUCAGCUUCCGCAUGCCCUAUUUUAUCUACUGCCUUUUUUUUUUUUUUUUUUUUUUUCUUUUUUUUUUUUUGCGUUUAGCUCUCUCAAUUUUUCUUUUUCUUUUUACAAAUAAUUCUAGUAAAUUUAUAUUUGUACGCAUAACUCUCUCUUUACCAUGCAAGCACCAUUUUGGUAAUUUUAAAUUGAACACGCUGAUUGAACCACCGUGUUUAAAUACGAUGAUUUAAUCAUCGUGUUCAUAUUUAUAUUUUAAUCUUUUAUUUUUAAGUUAAGGGCUAUAAAAAUACAAAAAAGAAUAUAAUAAUCCAAUCUCCGUGUUUAAAUAUGGUGAUUGAAUCGGGGUGUUCAACUUAAAUAACGCCACCGAGACGCUUAUGUUGAAAGUAAAGGGCUACUUAUACAAAUAUAAAUUUGUUAGAAUCAAUUUAUAAAUUCUUUUGUGAAAAAGCUAAAUGCAAAAAAAAUCCUUAUAUGUAGAUAUUAUUUUAAUUUUUUUUCCUUUAUGUUCUAGAGAUAUGCCAAGUCUAUGAUCUAAAAGAGCUCUAGAAUUACAAUUUGAGCAAUUAAUACUAUCCAUACCUCUCAAAUAGUGUGUAUUUCAUAAAUUCCAUCUAUCUAAUCGGUGAGAUUUCUUCAUUUGUAAUAUGAUGUGACUAAUAAAAAAAUCUCACUUAUUGAAUGAGUAGGUGUAUAUCCUACAUUCUAAAAUGUAAUGUAUAAAUAGCUUUUCUCAUGCAAUUAAAAAGAUAGACUUUUAUUUACCCACAUGUGGUUUAGAUCAUUUUCACUUUGUUAUUCUAUAAUUUAAAAAAAAUAAAAUUAACUAGUUUGUGGUUUUAUCUCCAUUUUUAUCGAUCUUAAAAGUUUAUUAUUAAAUAAGUAAUAAUCACGGAGUAGUUAAGUAUAACUUUUGAACCACACGGUAGCAAAGUAAAAAAAUGAGCUAAACCACAUGAUAAUUAAGUAUAAUUUUUUAAAUUAUAAAAUGGCAAAAUAAAAAUAAACUAAACUAUAAAAGAAAAAAUAAAAUUUAUCUUAAAAAAAUAACCGGGCUAGUAAAAUAACCUAGACCACUGAAUGAUAGAAUUGUAACGUUACAAUCAACUUUAGGCUGUCGGGCUCCCAUUGCUCUAUUUUUAAUUCAUUCUUUUAUUUAUUUCCCUUCCAUACUAUCCAAACCAACCGAUCAAUGACCACACUUUUACCACUGUCAAUUAUCAUACUUAAGGUUAGUAACAAAUUUUAAUUUUUGGAAAAAAAAAUUGAUUUUUUGUUAUUUUAUGACUGUUUAUAAAUUUUUAUUUUUUUAAUUGAAGUAUCAGUUUAAAGAGAAUCAUUUGAUCUGUCACAUUUUUAAAUUUUAUUUAUAUAAAGCAAUAAAAAAUAAAAAAAUAAAAAAUAAAAAAAUAAACAAAAAUUAAGGGGCUGGCCUGGAGCACUGCCCGGGCCCCUGACACGGUUAGGCCUGGCUCGGAUGAGCCGGUACCCUGCUGUUUCGGCCUAAGGUGUUGUGGGCUGUGCCCUCUUCAUGAUAUUGAGAGGUUUUUCUCUUUUUUUUUUUUUUUGCAUUUUAAUGUUAAAAGAAAUUAAGAUUAUAAUUCACUAGGCAGUUUUGAGUGGCCAAUGUAUUAUAGAUAUAUAGCGAGAAACAUCUUGUGAGGAUAACUCUCCUGAUCUUUUGUUUAUUUAUUUAUAAUUAACUUUUUUAGUUUUUUCUUGUUUUGCUCACCUAUUAUUUAUAUGAACUUCAAUGACAGAAAUUGCAGAGAGACUACUACAGUGGAAAUCAGAACUUGUAAAGAAAGUCGAUAAUUCAGGAAGCACUCCCCUUCACUAUUUAGCGACAGCUACAAACACUUAUAUGGUGCGUCAACUAUUGAAAGAUGGCCGUUCUACUGCUUACUACUCAGAUUGUGAAGGGUUUUAUCCGAUACAUAUUGCUGCUAGUAUGGGGAGUUGCCGCAUAAUUCAUGAGCUUAUUGCCUGUUGUCAUGAUAUGGAUGAGUUAGUAGAUAACAAAGGAAGGAAUUUUCUACAUAUUGCUGUACAAGAGAACAAACUGAUGGUCGUUAAGUAUGUUUGUCAGAAUCGAGAGCUUGCAAAAAUGAUGAAUGCACAGGAUAAUCAUGGGAACACGCCGCUGCAUCUUGCUGUAUCUUCUCAGAACCGAGAAAUAGUGAGACUUCUAUUGGAAAAUAAAAGUGUACAUCCAAGUAUCCAGAAUAAGAAACGACGAACCCCUCUAGAUCUUGCCAUCACCAAGAUCGACUAUAGCUUAAUCUCACUACAGGUAAACGAAAUUCCUCCUUUAACAUUCUUUGUCAGAAUUGAAAAAUAUUUACCUGAAAUUCAGAAUGCAAAUGAAUAAAAAUAUUGGAUAUAUACAUUCACUCACAUAUAAAGAAAUAUAGAAUAGUAAUGUACAUAUACAACAUAUCUACGUGCAUAUAUUGAUUUCAGCAUACAUCUACUAUAGAUUAAAUAGGUUAGAAUAGGAUUUCUUCUUUUGCCGUUCCAAUUCACUAGUAAUCCACAAAUCAUAUCGUAAUUCACAAUUCCACAUUCCGAAGGUGGUCAAAGAAUUAGGUAGCUAUUGAUGAGAGGAUAAAAAGAGAGAGGAAGAGAGAAAAGUAGCGCAAUCGAUCAGUACUUGCUAAUUGGUCCUUCUAUAAUGAGCUUUUCUUCUUUGACUUCCAGAACCCGCACAUCUGGAUUUUUCACUGCUUACAACAGAUUGGUGCCAUCUACGGCCCUCAACGACUGGACCGCUUAAUAUAUGACUCCAGACGCAAAGACAUCGACAUCGCCAGACAAAAUCUUGACAAUGAACAAAAGAAGUACGGGAGUACAGCUAAAAAUCUAGUAAUUGUCUCAGUACUUAUCGCUACCGUGACAUUCGCUGCAGCUUUCACCAUGCCUGGGGGUAACAUUGCUGACGACCACCAAAAUGGAGGCACGCCAACUCUAGCAAGAAAAUAUGCUUUCACGGCUUUCAUCAUCUCAGAUUUCAUUGCAUUUCUUUGUUCCCUCAUGGCUACGAUUUGGCUUAUGUAUGCUGGCUCACUUGCCAUACAUCAUUCUCGCCGGUUAGAACUCAUUCUGCGAUCCCAAUACUUCAUUAGCAUAGCGGCACAAAGUAUGGUAGCAGCAUUCGCAUUGUCCGUGUAUGUGGUGCUGGCCCCAGUUAACAGUCUCAUUGUCCUUGUUGUCUUCAUAUUUGCGUUCCCGUCAGUCUUGUUAUGCAGUCCAGAUAUUUGGCAGCGAUUUCGUCUCACAAUGACAAUACAGAGAAGACUAGGAUGGUCAACAAUAUUGUGCAAACCCUGCGUAAUAGGGCGACCAUUCGGGCUCGGUACGGAGAGUUUUAACUGGUUUAUCUUUGGGCCGAUAGUGUAUUAUUUGCUAGUUUAUAUACUCAUCUUUGGGGUAUCACUGAUUCUUUCCAUCAAACAUUUGCAUUUUACCUAAAAGUGGGUGCGAAUUAAAUCUUUCAUUGUCAUCAUCCAAGGGCCAACUUUUUUACACUAGUCUUUGUUAGAUGUAUGCCCUAGAAGCCAACCAGGCCGAUACAUGUAUUCUUUCUAGGACAUAAUUUUGUAUUUGGUUUUAAAAUAUUAUGAAUAACUUUGGGUUUUUAUUUCUAUUUAUGUUGUGUAUGUGUCCAUGAAUCGUCCAAGGAAUUAAUAAGAUGAUGACAUAUAUUCUCAAGUGUUGAGAAUUUGAGACAUGUGUCAUUGGUGAUUAAUUCCUAAAUGCUCCCGAUCAAUGGAUCAUCACGGGGACGGUGAUUGAUCCGGUGAGAUUGGUGCAUAGGUCGCUUCCCUUUCUGGAUAGACGAGUCUCGAGUCGACAGUGUGGGGACACUGAAGCGAAUAUGCAGGUGGUUGUUAGAGAACAAGGGUACCGAGCGUGACCAACGCGAGAAGUCACUUGGAUGUCUACUCACUCGUCAGUGACUUACUCAAUUGUUGCAGUAGUGUGACUGGUCCUUUGACCUGCGGUGCCUCGGCUAUUCACAAUGAGGUUACUGUAGUUUGACUGUACAUACACUUGGUCCCUAGCCAUUCGGGUCCUUGCGGUGCAUGUUGGCUGCAGUAGGUUCAUUGUAGGAAUAGGGUGCGCACUUAGAUGGAAUCUAUCUCCCUUGGUAGAUAGGGGUGUUAGUCCUAUGUGAUUUAUGAGACCGAGUUUAGAAGACCUUGGCCAGGGCAGAAUAAAUAGCGGAAAAGGGUUUCCGAUAUUAGAAACUCGAGUCGAAUAAAUUUAACAUAUGACAGACGAUGGGGUUUGACGAGUUAUUCCAUAACCUCCGUCUAGUCGGGACUCAUGAUAGAAGGAUUGUAUCACACGGUAACUGCACCAAGAGGUUCAGUAUUCCAUUCUACUGGAAUGCCACUACAUGCUGCUAGGCGUCACUGGUGGAUUGUGAGACUCAUGAGAAUUAUCUAGAUGAUCGAUAAUUCUCAUUGGGCUGAGUUGGAAUUGUUCUAAUCCAUUGAAAGGAGUUUCAGUGAUAUUGUUGAUAGUGAUCAAAAUAUAUCUCACUACCAGAUAGAAUAGAACCUAUGGGGUCACACACAUAAGAGGUUGUGAUUGAUCGGAUAGCUAGAUCACGAUUAUUGAAUCGCCGGAGGACCUAAUUAUCAAUUUAAUGAUAACUAGACUAAUUUGUAAUUGUUACAAAUUAGUGGUAUUAAGGUGUAAAUGUUACAAGAGAGGACUUACUAAUAGUUAGUAAAUUAUAAGAGGACUUAUGUGCAAGUGUUGUAUUAUUAAUUUGAUAAGAUCAAAUUAAUAUAAAAUUCAAAUCGAAUCAAAUUAGGAUUUGAUCGAUGUAACCAAUUAAGGAAAAGAUAAAUUUAAAUCUAGAUUUAUACUUAUCCUUAAUUGUCAUUAUAUUAUUAGGAAUAGGAUUAUAUUCCUAUAUAUAAUAUACGGGAGUUUUUAGAAAACCCUAGCCCGUCAUAUCUCUUCUCCUCUCUUCCAUCUUCUAGCAAAUAGACGUCCUUUUGCAAGGGAGCUAGCACCCCGGUGAGGACAUCGAUCAAAUCAAGAACCUCGUGUGGAUACCUAUAGAGGCCGGACGCGUGUGCGGCUUCAAGAGAACCCGAUUCCACGAUCAUCAAAUUGAGGCAAGGAUUUAUCCGCGAAAAAGGUAAAGAUUCGAUCUUACUUUCUCCUUUAAUCUUAAAGAACAUGAGGGAUCCUAAUUGCGUGGUUUUGAGAUUAGAUCUCGAGAGUUUUUCAAAAUCAAAUCUGUUUGAUUUCUUUUUCCGCUGCGUUUUACCGUACGCAAUUUUCUAACAGUCUUAUCACUCUUUCUCUUCUUAAUAAAUAAAAAAUUCAGAAAGGAUUGUCUAAACCCUUGGAUGAUUGGACGUAAAAUUUACACCCAAAGAAUUAGGUGUGCAAGUAAUUUAUAUAUUUGAAAAGUAUUUUGAGUUAUCUUUGUGAUGUAAUAAGAGCUAGAGUCCUUGCCGGUCUCUAGUUCAGAGUCUUAAUGUGUUUGGGUCAAUCAUAUGUAUUAAGCUUGCUUGGAUUAAGUUAAUUACCCUGUCGGUUUUAGAGUCUGUAAGUUUCAUGGCACCUGUUUAAUAUGUGAUGAGUGAAUUUGUAAGCAUUUUCUUAUUUAAUUCACAUCUUGGUCUUUAAGUUUCAGGUCACUACUAUCUUGUACAAUGUUUUUGAUCGAUCCGCCAGUGUGGCGCUAGCUAGUUGUCCAUUGAGCAUGUCAACUGCUCGCUGGCAAUCCCUCUCUGCAUGCAAUACAUCAACGCCUUCAUGGCGAAGCCUCCUGCGAAAAUAAUGUUCUUAGUAUUUGUUAUAUUUGGUUUAGAUUUGUAGUUAUCUAAAUUGGAGUUAAAUUCUAAUCUAAUUGGGAUUGGAUAUUAUUUAGAUUUAAUUUGGCAUAUAUGGAUUAUAAUUAGGAGUGUAAUUCUAAUCUAAUUAGAAUUAGACUCUAGUUAGGAGACAUGUAUUAUAAAUACAUGCUACGGCCAAAUUAAAGAAGUCGCGACCAAAAGAUUAAGAGCCAUGGAAAUUAAUUAAGGUGUUGGUGCUCCGUCCGGUAAAGAAGCAGUCGCGACUCAAAAUUAAGCUAUGCUCUAAUUAAGCUAUAUAUAUUUGAGGAGAGUUGACCGAGCCAUGCAGGUUGGUCUCUACGAGGAGCCGCAGCCUUAAUUAAGAGGUGAUACUUAAUUAAAGUAUCUAUUGAGUCGAGCCAUCUCUUCUUUGACGCAUAUGUCCGUACCACAACUGGGACGUGCGACGUGGUGCGCUUCGGUAAGAGGGUCGAGCCACUUAAGUUUUGUACGGAUGCUAAUUGCGGCGUUUCGGAUCUAAUUACGUUUUGGUCUUUUGAGAGAUCUUCUUUGUACUCCGCCUUUUCGACAUUAAUAAAUUAUUUGCUCCGUCUUCGCCCGUGGACGUAGGCCGUUGGCCGAACCACGUAAAUAUCGGUGUGUUCUUUCCGCUUAUCUUUUCUUUUCUUGCAUUAAGUUAUUUUCUGGAUCUAUUUUUCGCCGUUCCGAUUUUAACAGUAUUAGAACGAGAUAUAAAACCAAAGCCUAUAUAUAGACUCACCAUUCAUCUUUUGCAAAGCAUCAGUGUUGAUCUUGAUUCUUGGCACUAUAGGAAGCGCCCAAAGCUGUUUCCGGUCAAUAUUUGAACCCAGCUUAAUUUUAGUACUCUUUUUUUAGAAAAUGGUAUAUGGGCCGAACAGUUAGGCUCUCCACUUUUGUUUGGGGCCCAUUUCCAUUCAUCCUUCACCGGUUCAGUUGUAUCUUUUCCAAGUCAAAAAUCAAAUCCAUUAACACUAAUGAGUACACGUGAAAGUGGUUAGAAUAAAUUCUGAAUAAAUCCGACACCAAAUUCGAUAAGAUGCGAAUAUGAAUGUCAAAAUUUAGCAUUCGAUAUAUAUUCGUAUUCAAAAAAAAAAGAGAAAAGGAUUGAAUAUGGUUUCCCAAAAAAUACGACCAUAUUCAGCUGCUUUCAUCCCUAGAAGGUAAAAAAGAUAUUAAUAUAUAUUAUAGGGAAAUAAAAUGAUUUUCUAUCGUAUUCUUUAUUUAUUUUAUUAUGAGUGAGUUUUAUGUUCAAAUGCAUAUAUGUUUGUUAAAUAUUAAAUUUUAUUGAAUAAAAUAUGUGUAUGCAAAGUUUGAAACAAGAGUGUGAGACUUUAAUUGCAUCCUUUGUCUUCUUCAUGCUAAUUUUCAUUUAUAUUUAUAUUGCAUAUUUGUAUAAAGUUCGGUUACUACAUUAUUUUGAAUACGAUCACUUUCGUAUUCAUAAGUCAUUUUUAAUUAUAGAACUUCCGGAUCAACGAGUCAUACUGUUAAACGUAAUUUAGAGUAUGUAAACAUUUUAGAAACUGAAUUUUGUAAUUUAUUGAUAUUAUAUAUCUUAUGAUCAAAGGGCUUUAAAAUUGACAUUUUAGCUGCUGGUACGUGCGUUUUCCAGUUAAUAGUAUGGUAAAAUCGAAAACGGUUGAAUUUCUAAUAGAAAAUUUUAUUCGCUAUAUAAAGCAAAAUAAAUGACUAUCAUCUUGAAUUUAAGAACCCUAACUGCUAGUUUUACGUGUUCGUUCAAUUUUGACCAUUCAUUUUAUACCCACUUGAUUGUUCAAUAUAAAUUCAAAAAAUUAUAAAAUACGGUUUUUAAAUACUUUAAAUAUUCUAGACCAUAUUUAACGAUAUAUAUAGCUUGCUGAUUUGGAAUCUUUAUUAAUAAAAAUAACAUAUAAGUACGAAUGCCUCCGUACCUGUAAAAGUAUAGUAACUCUAUAUAUUCAUUAGUAUAUAUAUUAUUAUCCGAAUAAUAUCCAAAUAUAUAUCCAACUCAUAUCUGAAUCAAAAUAUGGUUUUAAUAUGGUUUUAGUGGAUAUGACAACGAAAAUUUAAUAUUCUAUACAUAUCCGCAUCCAAAUUCGUACUUAAAAAAAAUAAUUAGAUGCGAAUAUGACUUUGUCAAAAAUCCGAUUGUAUUCGGCCGUUUUGAGCCUGGUCAAAGUCAUGAACCAAGUGAACUAGAGUUGGAUUGAAUACAUAAACGUUCUAUGCAUGCCUUGAUGUGAGCGUUUACUGAAUAGGACAAUGGGAUUUCAAUUCUUUUAUUAAUCUUCAUAGAGCCAGUUCAUGCCACCACAUAUAAUCAUAUUUAGCUGUGCUAGGCUGGAAUAUGAGAAAAAGUUUAAAAACUGAUUAAGAAUGGAAAAGAGAGAAGUUUAAGUUUGGUGGAGAUAUUUUUGACACAUUAUAUAUGGGUUCAAUCAGAUUUUAUUUUAUAUUCGGUAUAGUGUUAUUAUUGGCACAAAUCAAAACAAUAGUAGAAAAGAAAUCAUGCUUUAACAUACAACUAAUAUGUGAUCGAUAUAAAUUCAAUCAACAUAUUACACGAUUAAUAAGUGUUACAAACAACUUUAAUUACAUAUUAGACGCAAUUAGUACGAAGUCACUGAGCCAGUCACAAAUUAUGACUAGACGUCUUAUAUAUGUCUGCAUGUUAUCUAAAUAAAAAAUCCAUUCAAUAACCAUGUAGUGAAAAUAAUGAUGACUAAAUCUGAAAAAAUAAAAUUUUGAAAUAUAAUUCACGGUAUAAAACUAGUUUGGACUCUUCUAAAUGUUUAACUGUCCAAAAUGUGUCAAUCAAAACUGAUCGAGCAAGAUCAUCUAUAUGUCUAGCCUGUGUGAUAUCACGCUACGUCUUUAUUUUCGGAAGCAAAUGGCAAAGGACUUGAUGGUUGGUACCCGAGACUCAAGUUUGAAUCCUAGUUGAUUCACAUUUCCAGCUAAGUUUAUUUCUAAAUGAAAUAAACGAAACAGAUAGCGUGCUACCUAUCUCUCAAAAAAGAAAAAAAAAGAAAAAAAAAAGAAGAAUAUUAUUUUUUAGCAGUAGUUUUAUUAAGAUUCUGAUUGGAGGAAAAGUAAGGGUAGCGGUCGGUAGUAACUGUGGCUGCAGCAAGUAAUAAUUUCUCGUGUUUUUUUUCCUCCGUCGCCAUUCUCAUAGAGUUUGUUGGCCUAAAUAGACUAGCAUGUUGUCGUAUGGCAGAAAGCUAGGUUGGGCCGAGUCACGUUCGAAAUAGCAUAAGGUCGGAUUGAGUUGAGUCAUGUUCGUGGUGGCGGGAGGCUGGUUAGACCGAGUCACAAUUGACAUCUGUGGACGCUGUAUCUUCUGUACGCUUUAAAUGAAUUGACUAUAUCUUUUUAACAGUUCGAGUCUUUGAAAUUAAUGAUUAGCGCCAAUGAUCCGACGUGCUGAGAAUCUGGAACUUGCUCUCAUACUAGUUGCUGAUUCUCCGCUCUGAUACCACUUACUAUAAAUUCGAUACUCGCUCUCGAACUCGUUGUUUUGAAUUUCAGAACGGAAGCGUUCAAUCGAAUUUUUAUUCUAAGUCUGUCUCUUCACUAAAAAUUGACACAAUCACAAAAGAAAAAAAAUCAAAUAAAAAAUAUCUAUUAAAUAAGAUUCACUAAUUAAAAAAAAAAGUCAUACUUGACUCUUUUCCAAUACAGAAAUCAAUUUGAACCUUCUUUCUGUAUCUCUCUUGGUCCUCUCUUGUCUUCUACAAAUCUAAAUUUUUUUUUUUUUUUUUUUUCUUUCGACUCAUCCAUGGACUAAAAGUGCAUGCAACCGUAACCAAGGCGCCUCUCUAGAUCUACUUUGUACGGACACAAAGAAAGCCAAUUGUCAGCCGUGCUUUACUCCACCACAAAGUUUCGCACAAGAACACUUCAACUUGGUCAUACAAUCCACUUCAAAUAUAUAUAUAUAUAUAUAUAUAUAUUAUAUAUAUAUAUAUAUAUAUAUAUAUAUAAUAUAUAUAGAUACACUAGAAAUAAAUACUUAUGGAAGCACGGAGGGCUCCGUGCUUCACUUUGUUUUUCGAUGUUCGGAACUUUCGAAUCGACGAUCGGCUCCGUUAUACUUGAUCUAGAGUAUUUGAAGUAUCUAGAAAAUAAAUUUUGCGAUUUUCGAACAUCAUUUAGCCUAGUGAUCGAAGUGGCUCAAAAUCAACGGCUGAAAAUAAAAAUCUUAUAAAAUUAUGAUGAUAUACAUUAAAAUUUUAAAUCAAAGUUAUUGAUAUUGCUUUAUAGGUAAUAAGAAUUUUCUAUCAAAAUUUCAUGUGAUUUGGAUAUUUCUAUACGUUAAACUUCCAACCGCUCACACGGCCGUUAAAAUUAUUGAUCUUUAAAGCCCCUUCGAUCGACUAGGCAAAUGAUAUUGAAAAAAUCGUAAAAUUUAUUUUCUAGAUAUUUCAAAUACUCUAGAUCAGCUCUAACGGAACUGAUCGUCGAUUCGAAAGUCCGAACAUCGAAAACAACUUAAAAGCACGGAGGCCUCCAUGCUUCUAUAACGCAUACAGCACAACUCUAUAUGUAUAUAUAUUGAUUUACGUCAAAAUCACUAUAAGAAAAGGCAGUCGUAGAGAUGAACUUUUAGUAAUUAUAGAGGUGAUUAUUAGUAACCUUCCAUUCUAUGGUGCGCGAACGAUAGUAACAUGGUGAGAUAGUAAUUAAUAUAACGAAGUACCAAGCCCGCAUAAAAAACCAAGCCUCCAUGUGAUUUAGUAACAAUGGCACGUAACCACUCCCCCCCCCCCCUUCUUAAUCCUUCAUCUCCGUUCCACUCUGUCUAUAUAUAGUAGAGCUAGAAUACUAUUGAUAGUAUGAAAAUAGUAUUUAUUAUUAAUUUUCUUCUAACCAUUAGAUGCCUAAUAUUUAGUAGGGAUUGGUGAAAUUAAUAGUAAUGACCUAUAGAUUGGAUGUAUAGAUUUUAGUGGAGUUUGAUGAAAUAGUACUAAUCCAAAGAUGGAAAAGUUGACGGUAAACAUUAUUUACAUAUUAUCAACAAUAUACUAGCUCAACUAUCUCUCUCUCUAUAUAACUUAUAUCAAAAGCUAUUUCAAUUCUAAUCUAACAUUUCCUCUCUAUAUAUUUAAUAUAUAAACCUCAUAGAUUUAAAUAUUUAUCUUAAUCCAUUAUAAUCUAACGGUAAGUUCUUGUAGUGAAACAAAUGACAAAGGCCAAUCUUCACAACUGGCACUUGGAUAUUAACUCUGUUUAUACUUUAGCUUCAAAAGUUCCGAAUUGAAUUAGUAAGGUACGUAUUAUCCUGUAGUUUUAAUUUUCGUGAGAUACCCAUCCCCUCUCUUGUUAAUGAGAUUAUUUCUUAGAAAGUAACUGUCCCUAGUGCAAUAGUUAAGAGUUUGAUAGUUAAUAUCUAAAAUUUCAAAUUCAAAGUCUAAUUAUGUCACAUUUUUUUCAAGUAAGUUUAUUUCUAAAAAGAAUGAACAAAAUUGAUAGAAUGCUCUCUUUGUCUCAAAAAAAAAAAAAUAAAAAAAAAUAAAAAAAUCUUAUUCCUUUUGGAAUGAAUGCUUCUGAAAUUUUACCCAAAUUAAGAUCGUAAUGUCUAAUUGAUUGCUGAAACUCUAGAUAAUAUAGCACGAAUGAAAUGCACAAAUAGCGUUUCUUGCAUGGUUUUGUGGGCCCGGAUCCGCCACUGUCAUUCUUUUUCAACAUUAUCUUUUUUUACAAAUUCUAUCUUCUAUUUCUCUCUCUUUCUUUUUUUUUUUAAUGCUUGAGGAGGUGGUAAGGGAUGGAAUUAAUGUCCUUUUUUAUUUGUUUAGUUUCUUUUUUCUUUUUUUUUUUCUAGAGUAUCUCUUUUCCUCUCACUUUUUUUUUUUUUUUAAAUACUUGAAGAGAUGGCAAGGGAUAAAAUGUACUUCUUUUUUUUUUACUUUUUUCUUUUCUUUUUCUUUUCUCGAGUUGUAUACGUAGGAAUGUAGGAAGGUAUAGAACUUGAAUCAAACCUUUGAUUUAUAAAGCAUUGGUCCCAAUAUAUUAAUUAAACCUUUGAUUUAAUAAAGGCUGCUUAAUUCAUGUAAUCUGUUUUACCUUUAGAAAGAUAAAAACUUGUUCAGUGUCGGCAUCAAGACUAAGUGAGGAUGACAACUCCUUUCGUAGAAUCAGUUUUUCUAAGGACUGUUUGGUUCAUCGUAAAAACGUGAAAAAAAGUUUUUCAAAACAAAAUUUUCCGCGAAUAACUUAUUUUUUAAUUUAAUUUCCGUCCGUUUGUUUUUAAAAAAAGUUAUUUUUUUGAAAAACUUCUUUUCAAAUUUUAUGGAAAAUUAGCAUUUUCGUUUUCCUAAAAAAAUUUGGAAAUAAAUUUCUAGAAAAACUAGAUUUUCUUAAAACCAAACAUAUGAAAAACUAAAAUAGAAAUUUUUCAUGAAAAAUAUUUUCUCGAAAAACUUUUCUCCUCGAUUUUCCGACAAACCAAACACCCCCCUGAAGGAGAAAAAAAAAAAAAAAAAAGUGACUUUUUCUAUGUAAAAGUUUUAUAUAAUUAGUUAUACAGGUGAAUGAAUUUCUCUCUUAUUGUCAUUAUUGGUUUAUAUAGAACGCAUUCAGAGUAAGUGAAAAUGACAACUCCUUUAAAGAAAGUUAAAAGAGUUUAAAAAAAAAUCACAUGUUUUUAAUAUUUUGCUGCCGAAUAAAUAACUUAGAUAUAAAGAUUAUAAGUCACCAACCGUUCUUCUAAAUAGACAAUUUAUUUAAAAAAGCGAAAGGACAAAAACAAAAAACAACGCCUUCCAAUUUUAUUUCUUUUUUCAGUAAUUGGACACUAUAUAAUUUCAUAAAUAGCGACAGUUAGUGUAUGAAAAUAGCCGAUCGAGUGAGCUAAAAAUGACACUUUAAACAGCUAAUAUUGUUGUUGUGCAAGUAAUCCAGUUGUGGCUUGGUUUACUGAGUACAGUAGCUCAAUUUAUUUUGUUCAUGUUAGUGGAUUUAAUUAGUGGAGAGCAUGUUUUGAAUGAAUUUAAUUUUCUUUACUAACAAAUUUCUCCACUAUUUAACAAUUAAUUUGUCCAAUAAUACUUUGCAAGUUUUGAAUUAGAAGUUUUCAUCUUUUGUUUUAUUAUGAUUCUUUACGUGUUAUAGCCGAUUAAUAUUACAUCACUACAACAGAAUUAGGUUAUAGGGACACAUGUUUGGAACACUUUUGUCUAAGUGUCCCAUUUAUGUCAAAAUUUAAAAAAACAUCUAUUAAUGCCUUAAUAUAAAGUCGAAUCCAAAAAAAAAAAAAAAGAAGUUACUAUACUCAACCCACCCAACCUAACCCAUUUGGCCCGAUUCCAAACUGAAAGGAAAAAAAAAAGAAAAAUCGAUUACCAUCUCUCCUUCUCCCCUCACUUAAUCCACUGAAAUUCUAGACGAAGAGCCCUUCCCUCUCGUCCUCCUCAGCCACCGCAGCCAACGAGGUAGAGUUCCUACGAUUGCUAGAUGCUUAAAUAAGUGUUGCUAAAUUAGCAGCACUUUUUUAGGUUAUAGCGACACUCUUUAACUGUCGCUAUAUAUCUAGCGACCCUACGUAUAGCAACACUUUUUAAGAGUGUCGGUAAUUUAGCCAGCAGUAUUUUUUUUGACCUAUACCGGUAUUUAAAAGUAUCGCUAUAGACCAUUUUUGUUGUAGUGCGUGUUCGGAAACAUAUUUUAGAAAGUGAACUUCAUCUUCUACCAACAUAAAGCAAGUGUUGAGAUAGAUGGCAUCAAAUGAAGAACUAGAUUGAGAAAUUAUAAGCUUUGUUGUCUUUCUAUUUUUUUCAUUUUUUCCUUUUUUCCUUUUUUUUUUGUAAAAAAUACCGAAACUUUUAAUUUGGAUAAUUAGACUCCCUAAACUUUCUCAAAACAUUUGAUAUAUAGGCCACUCCCAUUCAAAGUUAAUUAUACAACCAUUUCAAUUGCAUGUUGUGGGUAUAAAAAUUGUGAACUUUAAAAUAUAAGAAAACUUUUUUUUUUCUCUUCUAAUUUUGAUAACCAAGUACAGAAAUUGAAUAAUAUAGAGAACAAAUCUUCGAUAUUCGCUAAUUCUUUUUAAUAUGUUAAAAUGGAAGAAAUAAAUAUCUUUGUAUUUAAUUUAAUAACUUUCUAAAAUUACAUGCAAAACUUAUAGCCAAAUUUGUUAUGUAAUUAGUAACUUCAAUUGAUGAAAGAGAUCUAUAUAUCGAUACCAUUAAACCCCACAUUAUUUUCCAUUGAAACUUUUUAUUUUAAAAAAUGAAAAACAAUUAACAGAAUGCCAAAGCAGGCCUUUUUGUUUCACUUUCACUAUAAGAAAAUUUUAUUAUAAGAAUGCUUUUUGGACGACGUUUGGGAGAAACAUUUCUAAAUGUCCCUAUUAUAUAGCUAGCAAAUACGGAUGCUUCAAAAAGCAUCAUGGUAUAAACUGUCGAUUAUUUUUAAUUUUCUAUAGUUUUAAAACGUAAGAAUUUUAAAAAAUUCUGAUGCUUUAAAAUAUUAUAAUAUAUUUCAUUGGCGCAUGGUAUAAGGAUUGGUACGCUACCUUCCUUCAUCAUCAAACACCUCAGGUCUUCAAUUAUUAUUAUUAUUAUUAUUUUUAUACUUUCAAAUAUAUAUGAUGGUAGACUAUUUUGGGAUGCUUUUAAGUAUCGUUAGUUACCGAGAAAAGUUCUUGUAGCAUUUUUUUUUUUUUUUUUCAGUAAAUUGGACUCAUCCAAGUUGUUAUUGGCCCUAUAAUUAUAUAAUUAACUUAAGUUUUCUUCGCUAACAAAUUGUCUUAUUUAUUUAAUUAAGAAGUUGUUCGUAGCAAUACUGAUUAGCAAGUUUUGACUUGAAAAAUUCCUUAUUCCAUCUCAUUAAUUGUCUUGGUAAAAUAGAGCAGCAAGAUAUUGCUAUGUGUUUGUAAUUAAACUUAUUUUGCAAAGGGGUUAAUUGCACCAUUGGUCCCUCAGUUUUACCUUUUUUGGAACUUGAGUCCCUAUCCUUUUUUUUUUCUGUUAUUAGAUCCCUAAACUUUAUAUUUUAUUGGAAUUUGGUCUGGACCAUGUAAACUUUUACUAAUUUUGAUAAAAUAAAUCACGUCAACUCUAAUAAAUUAAAACCUAAUAAAUUAAAACCGUACUUGUUGAUAUAUACUACAGUUAUGAUUCGAUAGUUUCUAAUCAAUCUCAUCACCAAAAUUUUCAAAUAUUUAAAAAAGCUUGGUGGAAAAAUGCUCGACUCAGCAGCAAGUUUUCCGAAAGCUCCAAAAGUAGGCGUCUUCUGCGAGGUUGGAUGAUCGUAGGCACGAAAGACAAUAUCGAAGGUGGUAAUUAAGAUUGGGCUUGAUGCGAUGAGUGUGUAUAUGGGAGAAAAGGUUAGGUCUCCGAGUAAAAUAAUGAAUACACACACUAUAACAAAAACGGUCUAUAGCGAUACUUUUAAAUGUAGGUAUAUGUCAAAAAAGUGCUGCUAGCUAAAAUUACCGACACUUUUAAAAAGUGUUGCUAUAUGUGGGGUCGCUAAGUAUAUAGUGACAGUUAAAGAGUGUCGUUAUAACCUAAAAGAGUGCUGCUAAUUUACCAACACUUAUUUAAGCAUUUAGCAACCACCGAAACUCUAUCUCGUUGGCUGCGGUGGCGGAGGAGAACGACAGGAAAGGCUCUUCGUUUAGAAUUUCAGUGGAUUGAGUGAAGAGAGAAGAAAAGAUGGUAAUUGAUUUUUCUUUUCUUUUUUUUUCUUUUCUUUUUGUAAUCGGGCCAAAUGGACUGGGUGUGGUGGGUUGAGUAGAGUAAUCUUUUAUUUUUAGUUGGAUUUGGCUUUAUAUAUAGGGAUUAGUAGAUGUUUUUUUAAAUUUUAUGAUAAAUGGGACACUUACUCAAAAGUGUUCCAAAUAUGUGUCGCUAUAAUCUAAUUCUGUUGUAGUGACAUUAGGGACCCAUGGUGCAAAUUUGCUUGAAAAAAAAUGAAGGACUUGUGGAACAAAAUACAAAACAAGGUAAAGGUUGGGGACCAAUGGUGCGACAAUUUCUUGGUCCUCCUCUACCAAUAUAAAGCUCUACCAGUGACCACUACUGAAGCACAAGGCAUGCAUCCACUGCACAGGCACUUAGAAGAGUUAAUUAGGGGGCUUUAUUUCCUUUAUUUUUUAAUUUUUUAUUUUUUUUCCCCCUCUCUGCUCCAAUAGCUAAUUAAUCAGAAGAUCUUUAAACAAUUAUAGAUCUUUAAACAAUGGCGGUGGCAGGAGAAGGCGACGAUAUUUCUAAAGCCAAAGGUGAUCGAGCUAUGCCAGGAUCCGAGUGGGAACUACGCAUGGAUAAUACGUUGCUCAUGGCAUUGAAAAAAGGGGACGCGAGAACCGUCGAAAGGUUCUUCUCGCGCGCAGCGGUACUCUCUUCCGAAGUCGCAGAUCACGCCUUGGCCAUCAAUCUUCCCGAUGCAGAUAAUAAUAUCGUUGCCGACGGUGAGGCAGGACGCAGGACUUGGCGAGGAGUGACCGAAGGCAGAAAAACUGCCCUCCAUGUCGUGGCUACUUUCGGGCACUUUGAACUCGCGAAGCUGAUCUGCACAAGAGACAGCUCCUUCUUGAGGGCGCGCAAUGUGGCCGGCGAGACGCCGCUGCACUGCGCUGCGAGGGCCGGGGCAGACCAGAUUGUGUCCCUCUUCAUUUCCGUAGCAAGGCAGCAGGAGGACAGGAGCUGGUUGGAGGCGGUGCUGCGCGCCACAGACCGGGAAGGGAAGACUGCACUACAAGCGGCGGCUGAAGAAGGCCAUGCGGCUGCGGCGAGAGUCUUGAUGUCGGCGGAUCCUGGGCUGGCGGCUAUAGACGACGGUAAUGGCGUGUCUCCACUUUAUGCCGCCGUGCUGUCGGGUUCGCUCGAAGCUGUUCAGAUCUUGAUAGAAUCAGAAUCCCCUGCCGAGGGAGGACAACAAGAUGGGACGACAUCCGCCAGCCGCGUCGCACCAGAGGCAUCCUACGCCGGACCGAAUGGCCAGACUGCCCUGCAUGCAGCCGCCCUCCGACACCCAGGUAAUUAAUUAAUCUACCAAUCCGCUUCCUCAUCCCCUAUUUUAAUUAUAUGUUGAAUUAACAGCUUGAAUUUAUAUUAUGAAUUAAUUCUUAAAAUCAAAGUUCAAAUUGAAAAUUAAUUUUGUGAAAUCAAAAUUAACACCAAACACCUCCUAGUACAUGAGCCGUUCACGUUUGAUUACAUUUUUACAUAAAAUUGAGUACCGACUUUUCAAAUUAAAACUCAAAAUUUACAUUUAAAGUUAAAUCCACAGUUGAAUACAUAAUACAAAAACAAUAUAUAUGCAUAUUCAAAUAUAGUUUUUUUUAUUUAAUUUUAAACAAAUUACUUAACACUUCAAUUAAUUUCAAAAAUUAGUUGCAUUAUUACGCGUAUUCUAUAAGUGGUAAGGGGUCUGCCAGUUGCGGAAACAUAAAGCAAAAAUAUUUGAAUUUUAAAUUAGUAUAUAUAUAUAUAUAUAUAUAUAUUUAUUUUGGCAUGCUGAGUGAAAAAGUAAAAAAAUCAAACUUUCUCUUACAUUUAUAUUAGAAAAGUUUUAUACUGAAUAAGAUGUUCAUGAGUAACUUAUUCCAACAUUUAAGCCAGACCUAAAUAUUGACAAUCUAAAUUUAUCUAUUUAUUACAGUCAACACUUUUUUUCUUUUUUUUUUUUUUUUUUUUGGUGUUUUGAACUACAAUGACAGAAAUCGCAAAUAAACUAUUGGACUGGAAACCAACACUUGUGGAGAAAGUUGAUGACUCAGGGAGCACUUUUCUUCACUAUUUAGCAGCAACUCCGCUGGAGGAUGCGGUGCGACAACUACUGGAGCGCGACACUUCUACUGCCUAUCUCUCAGAUUGUAAUGGAUUUUUUCCUAUACAUGUUGCUGCUAGCAUGGGUAGACGUGCGGUAGCCAUUGUGCUUAUUACCCAUUGCAAUGAUAUGGACGAGUUAGUGGACAAAGAAGGAAGGAAUUUUCUUCAUAUUGCUGUACAGUUCGACGAACCGGCGAUCGUCGAGUUUGUUUCUCGGCAACCACUGCUCGCGAAAAUGAUGAAUGGGAGGGAUUAUAAAGGGAAUACGCCGCUACAUCUCGCUGUAAAAUUCAAGAACCAAAAGAUAGUGAGUCUUCUGUUGGGAAACAGAAGGGUGCACCACAGUAUCAUCAACAAGGAUGGUCUAGCGCCUAUAGAUCUUGCAAUAACCCAGCGGGAGCAAGGCUUAGCUGGAGCGCAGGUAAGCUAAAUUCUUGGUUUAACAUUCUGUAUAUUCAACUAUUAAUGUAAGCAUAAGUUUACUAAAUUAAUGACUCAACCCGUCAGUGCUAAUUAAUAAUAUAUAUGAUGAGCCCAAACCACUAACUAAAAAUACUUAAUCUCAAUUAUUAUUAUUAUUAUUAUUAUUAUUAAAGUAUUUUGAUCUUUAUAUUUCAAUUCACAAUUUCUCAUCCGUUCGAUGUGGGACUAUUGGGGAGCCGCGUGUCACGAUUUUAGCGUUUUUGCUCGCAAAGCCCGUGCGGCGCCCGCCUUAAUUCCUGCUCGAAAAUUGGCAAGCCUUCCGUCCCUGUUGCUAGCCCGGACCUUCGCGUCCUACGACUAAGUAUGCAAAGGGAAUGACAAAGAGAAAGAAGCAGAGGUUCACUCAAAAAACUAAGUACUUCACUACUUAGAAAAAGAGGUUAUAACACACAUACACACUCCCUCUUGUGUCCCCUGGCCUUAACCAAACCCCACUAUUUAUAAGCUUAUGGAUACAAUGAACCUAGCCACUCAACACACCCACUAUCUCACUCAUAAUGAGCCCUCAUAACAGCCAAAAGCUCAAGAGUUGCUCUAUUAACUCUUGGUAGUUUUGUAACCUUUGAGCUUCCAUCAUUGAUGGGAGAAGUUACAAAACCCUUCAUCUCCCCACAGCGGGUUGGGUUUGGGUUUCCAUGACAAUCCGAAUUAACACGUUUUCGCUAGCGGAGUUGGGCCAAGGACUCAGAUUGCAUAGCAAUUUCGCUAAGUCCCUGACACGCGGCUAGUAUGUGGCGAACCUAAUUUGCUUUAGAAUUCAUUGUCCAAUUUGCAUAAAAAAUUCAUUAGUUUUGAGAUUUUGCAAAAGUCAGUCAUUAUUUUGGAUUUUACAGAUUUGGUCCGGAUUUUUAGAAAACUGAUCAAAAUAUACUUAUUACUUUAUCUCUCUUUUUUUUUUGUUUUUCGCUCGUUCUUUUUUUUGUAUCCUCUUUGAAGAAGGCCGUGGAGGCGGAGGCGGCUUGCCUCGCCUCCACCCCGCCCUCGCCCUCUCGCCCUCCUCGUCUCCGACCCCGCCGACGUUGUGCUGGCCAGCGUCCUCUGGGACGUCCCGCCUCGCUUCCGCCCCAUGCCCCCUUGCCCGCACCCGCUCCCCCGGGCAUCCUCACCUCCGACCCUACUAAGGCUGCGUCGUGACCCUCUUUUUUUUCUCUCUCUGAUCCAUCUCCACCGCCUCUACGGCCCUCCACGACGGUAACAAGGAUGGUAUCGCGUUCUCUUUUUCCGCCUUUGUCUUCGCCUUCUAUCUCCACCGUAACAGAUUUUUCACUCACUAAACCUACUUUUGGAAACUUGCGUCCUCAUCACCGCCACCGACAAUGAAGAGGAAGUACUUCUCGGCGCCGAGAUCCUCGCCAGCGAGGGAGAGAGCACGCGGUCCACCGCACCCACUCGGGGCCCGCAACGAGUGAGGUGGAGACGAAGAAUAGCGCGAUGACGGGCGACAGUGAGCGCAGCCUCGGCCGGGUUGAAAGCAACGAGGGCUGGCGGCACAUAGGAGUAUUUUUGGUCAAACACUUUUGUUUGCUACAAAUAAAAAAAAUUAACUAAAGGUCAAAAACUAAAGAAUACGGAAAAAAAAAAAAAAACCUAGAGAAGUAGAAAGAAAAAGAUAAAAUUCUACUGUUUUAAAAAAAAUGUUACACGGUUAUAAAUGUAAACUGCACCCUUUAAGAUGAAAGUUACACUCUUUAAAUAAAAAUAACACUAUUUGAGAUAUAGUUACACUGUUUCUCCUCCUUAAAAAGUAGAGGGGAAUGAGGAGGAGAAGAAACUGUAUAACUAUUUUUCAAAGAGUGCAAUUCUCGUUUAAAAAAGUGCAACUUUCAUAUUAAAGGGUGAAAUUUACAUCUCAAAGAAUGUAGUUUACAUUUAUAACAAUGCAAUAUUCUUCUAAAAUAAUACAACUUUAUCUCCUUCUUCUUUGUUUCUAGCUUUUUCUUAUUUUUUUCUCUCUGCUUUUUUUCUCUCGUUCUUUUUUUAUUCUCUCCGAAGAGGCGACAGGGGCGUGGGCGGGGGCGGGGGCAGAGGCGGCCCCUCCUCGCCUCAGCCCGCUCUGGCCCUAGCCCUCGCUCGUGCCCUCACCCGCGCACCCUCAACCUUCCUCGCCUCUGACCCCAUCAAGGCCGUGCUUAUCGCCGCCCUUUGGGAUACCGCCCCCGUUACCAUCACGGAGGGCCGCGGAGGUGGUGGUGGAGGAUGGUCGGAGAAAAAAAAAAGGGAUCGUGGCAUGAUCUCAACGGAGUCAGAGGUGAGGGGGAUUUGGGGAGAGGUGGGCGGGGGCGAGCGGGCACCGGUGAGGGCAGAGGCCAUUGACAUCCCUACAGGCCACAUAGAGCACUCAAACUUUGGUCGUACCCGUUUCACCCAUUAUUGUAUAGCACGGAGCGAUAUAUAGAAAGCUCCACUAAAAACGUAUCCAAAUCUUAAUUUGAGUAGAAUUCAACUCAACAUAUCUUUAAUAAAUUUAAUCUUUAUUUUAAUCUAACUAAAUGUCAACUAUAAAUCUAACUAAAUCCUAACAGUUUAUUGGUCUUUCUAAUGUUUUUUUUUUCCCAAACUUUUAGGGCCCGGAAGAUUGGAUUAUUCAAUGCUUACAAAGGACCGGAGCCGUGUUCGGCCCUCGACGACUGGACCCCUUGAUCAAUCAAAAGGCCAAUGAACCUGAUCUAAAGAAAGAACUGAAGAAAUACGAGAGUACGACUCAAAACCUAAUAAUUGUCUCGGCACUCAUUGCUACCGUGACAUUCGCUGCAGCUUUCACCAUGCCGGGGGGUUACAGAGCCGACGACCACCAAAACGGCGGCACACCGACUCUGACAAGAAAAUAUGCCUUCGCGGCUUUCAUAAUCUCAGAUGUCUUAGCAUUUCUUUGCUCCAUUAUAGCUACCACUUGGCUUAUGCUUGCUGGCUCACUUGCUACAGAUCCUUCUCGCCGCGUAAAUCUCAUUCUGCGCUCUGGACCCUUGAUACUCAUAGCGGUGCAGAGCAUGAUCGCGGCAUUUGCAUUGUCCGUGUAUGUGGUGCUGGCCCCGGUCAGUAUUGUGAUCGCCGUUGUUGUCUGCGUAUUGGCUUGCCCUUCGCUUUUGUUAUCCGAUACAGAAUUAUGGCAGCGUCUUCAUCUGGAAAGGACAGUAAAGAGCAGACUAGGAUGGUCAGCAAUGAACAGAACCCGGGCCAUCUUCCGAGCAGUGGCAGCUUAUUUGGUAGUAUAUGUUGUCAUCGUUGUGUUAUCGCUGUUUUAUUUCGUCAAGCAUUAGUGCGCAUUUGACAUAAGAUUGUGGAGUGAUGCCGUUUGCAGUCUCAAAAGUGAGUGUACUCUUAAUCACUAAAAAGGGACAAUUUUUUUUUUUUAACACUCUCUCUAUCAACCUUUGUUUUUUUAAUAUUAAAAAAAUAGAAAGGAUUGUCUAAACUGUAAGAAAAAUUUUAAAGUAUUAUAGUUGUUUUGUCUGUCUUUUAACUCUUAGUGAAUGGAUAUGGCUCUAGUCAAAGAAUAUGACUCUUAAUAAAAAAAAUGUGACUUUUAGUGAAAUGAUUAGGCAUGAAAAGAUACAAUUUUUCCUUCGUGCAUAUGUUCGUUUGGAGUUGAUUCUUAUAUAUUAUAUCCAUUGACUUUACUCAUAUGUAUUGGUCAAAUGGUCAAAGAGUCGUUAGUAACUAAUUAGUAGCUAUGAUUAAAUGAAAAUACACAAAUUCAAAAAUCACCUCUUGAAGCAACUAUUCAUAAAUUGCAAAGUCACUUCAUCAAAUACAUUUCAUAAAGUGUCGCUUCAUUAAGCUUAUGGUUGUGGUUUAUACAAGUCCUUAAUCUUAACUACUAAAGGACACAUAAAAAAGUUUAUGUCAGCUUCAUUCAUAAUAAUUUCAUUCUUACUUCUUAUUCUAUAUAUCUAUUUCUGACAAUUUAAUGUAGUAAGUGCUCAAAAACUCGACUUCAUUUGUAUAAACGCAGUUGAGGUUAGUACUUUAUUGUAUUUUGAGAGGCUGUUCAUUGCCCCAUACAUAUCAACUUGCUUAAAACAGUUGGUACGGAUUAUUGGAUUAAGCCUUUGGAAGAAUGGCCAUGAAGUCUUGUUCAGUUUUCUACCUAAUCUACUCUUUUUUUUUUGGCUAUGAUAACAAUCCUAAUACUAAAUUCUGGAAAUGUCGAUUGCUACCUUAUGAGAGAUGGCAACAAAUUUUGUGAGAUUAGAAAGAUUUGACUGCGUGAACUUCUUGUAUAGGCAAAAGAACUUAUUUUUCUUUUUGUCAAUUCUCAAACUAAAGUUGCUCUUGUUUAUUUCUAGUAUAGAUACAACAUAUAAGAAAAGCAAAAAUUGGACCAACUUUGUAUUUGGAUCAGAAUUAGGUUAUUCUCGAAGAAAGGAAAAAUAAUAUUUGUAUAGUUAGAUAGGAAUAUUGUCAAAAGAGUAAUUAUAGUUUUAAAAUAAUAAUAUUAACCUAUUAAUUAACAUGAAAAUAAUAAAUAAAUUAAUUGAUUAAUCAUGAAUAUUGUUAGAUAAACAUAAAUAUUAAUUAAUAAAUUAAUUAACCAUCAGUAGUGUUAAUUAAUAAAUUAAUUAAACAUAAAUAAUUUAAUACAUUAAUACAUUUAUUAGUUAAUUAUUUAAUUAGUUAGAUAAUUAGCUAAGAAAAAAAAAAUAGAAUAGACAAAAUAAUAAUUGGUUAAUCAAUAUAAAUAUUAGUUAUUACAUAAACAUAAUAAUUAAAAUUUUAAUUAGCUAAUUAAUCAAACAUAAUAAAUUAAUUACUACAUAGUUAAUUAAAUCUAUACUAUAUAUAAAAGCGUAUAGAAAUUUCGACAAUGACAGACGGAAUCUAAAAAGGAUUAAAUUAAUAUUCCCUACGAAUGAUUAGGAUUAAUUUGUUAAAAAUAUCUCAAAUAAAAACGAACGGUUAUGGUCAAUCUAUUAAAUCUCUACUAUAUCCGAAAAAGAAUAAAAUAAUAUUCCCUACGAAAUGGUUAUGAUUAAUUUGUUAAAAAAAUAUCUCAAAUAAGAAUAGUUAGGAUCAAUCUAUUAAAAAAUAGUUUUCCUAUCCAUCUAUAAAUUCAAUCCUACGAACGAUUAUAAUCAAUUUGUUAAAAAAUAUCGCUUAUGAUCAAUUUGUUAAAAAAUAAUAUUUUUUUCAUCUAUUUUAUAUUAAAAUUAAAAUUUGAGUUUAAAUUAUGAAUUAAAUUUAAUUUUCGAUAUCAAAUUUGAAUUAACAAUUAAUUUUUUUAUUAUAUUGGAUCAAAAUUAAAUUUUAAAUUUUAAAGUAAAUGUGAAUUAAAUUUUGAUGCUUUUAAUUUAAAACACAUAUUUAAAUUUGAUUCAUCAAAAAACAAGAAGUAUAUAAAAAUGUUUGAUGUAUAUAAAAAAUAGAACAUUGUAGGAUAUUGUAAAUAUUGUUUAAUAAAAUAUAACAUAUUAAUUUAUAAAUAUAAUUUUUAUUGUAAAAUUUUGGAUUUAUAUAAUAUACAAAUUUAUAUUAAUUUGAAAUAAAUUAUAAUAAUUAUUACGUGCAUUUGCACGUACAUUCAACUAGUAUUUAUUAAAGUAAUAAAUCAAGCAGUUAAUUAUUUAUCUAGUUAACUAUUAAAUUAAUCAAUAUAUUAAUAUAUUAAAGGGUUAUUGUAGGAUAGCCCGUUAAGAGAGGCUAUAAUUCUUUUUUUUGUUUUUUUGCGGGGCUCUUAUUCUUCUUAUUUUACUCCUUGUCGCGAACCGAACAAUGACUUGGUAUCUAUUAUCCAGGUUGAGAGACUUUUGAAGAAUACAAUUUUUUGGAGUUACAAAAAGUAAGUGGUCAUAAAUUAUAACAAUUAAAAGCUAAUUGAAAGGUUAAGAGCUAUAGAAAUGUAAAUACAUAAAUUAUGAGAUUUGGAAAUUGAAAUGGUAUAGGCUAUAGAAGGUCACCAGGAAUGUAUAGAAUAUAAAAAGAUGUAACUCCUUGAGACAAAUAGUGGUCAGUGACUAAAAAAUAAUUUUACUAAUAAAAUGUUUCAACAGAUAUUAAUGCAGUUUGUUUUUGUUUCAGCUUCAAAGCUUCAGAUUGAAGCAGCAAGCUAGCAACUUGUAGUUUUCUAUUUUUGUUUCACGGUAAUGAACUGUUGGUAAACAGGAUAAUAAAGUGAUGAUAAUUAAUUUUGCAAACCACAUGGCAUAUUUUAUUAUUUUAUAAUCUGUAUUUUAUCACUUAUAAUUUGCGAAACGUAUCACUUUUCUACUCUUUUUAACGGUAGUUCUUUCUGGUAAAAUAAAAAUAAAACCACAAGAAAAUUAAAUGCAAGUGCUUGAAUUUCCAGCUUGGUGAAAAGAAAAUGCGCUAGAUCACACGGAUCUAAUUGAAGUUUAUCUUGAAAAGAAUAAAAAAUUUAUUUGCAAUUUUUUAUUUUUUAUUUUUUGUUGUCAAACAAGCAUCUUGGAUGCAAGGAUUGCAAGCAAUCUACAUUCAUUCCUACACUAAUUUAUGUAGAAAUUUUAUUUAACAAAACAAAAAUCUGACAAUAAGGCCACAUAAUGUCCUCCUGUUCUAUUAAUAUGUUUAUUUUUCUUCCCAUAGUUGGUCGGCUAUAUAUUGGGAAUUCGAUACUCGUUUUGAUACUAGAUUUUGGGCUCUGAUAUCGACCGUUAUAAAUCCGGUACUCGCUUUGGUAUUGGUUGUUAGGAUUCUGCAACGAAAGCUUCCAAUCAGAUUUUUACUAUAAAUCCGUUUUCUCGGAAAAAACUGAUACAAUACGAAGAGAGAAAAAAAAUUACAAAAAAUACAGAUGAAUUAAAUUUAGUAAUUAAGAGAAUAAUUAUACCUGAUUUAUCUUCUACACAUGGUAAUCUUAAUCCAAACCCUCUUUUUGAAUCUAUCUCAUUUCUCUAUCUUCUUCUGCCUAAAAGACUAUACUCUGUUAUGCACCACGUACCAGGCACAUACAAACUCUUUUUUCUCUCAAUCCAUUCGUACACCAGGUGCAAUAAAUCAUGGCCAAAGCGUAGGCUACAAUGUACCCCAAUUUAGUAUAAUUUAGUAUAUUACUCUAAUUAAUAUUUAAAUUUUAAUCAAUUUAAUUUCAAUAGAUUUAAAUAUUUGUCACAAUCUAACUAAAAUUUCACUACAAAUUCAACUAAAUUCUAACGCUAUAAUCAUGCAAUUAGUGGCAUUAAGUGUAAGAAGUUAGUUUAAAGUGACCCUGUAGUGGAUCAGUCUACAGAGCAGCAUGCAACCACUCAAAUUUGUUUCGUUGAUGGGAGUAAAAUGUGUAGCGAGUUCGGAGAAAAUACAUGUUGAAUGGAGUUUUCUUAGCAAGUUAAUUUCGAACUAAACAUUUGCUUAUUCCACGUCUCUUUUUUGCCUCUAUGAAGUAAGGUAUGGAGGUAUUAAUCACUACUGAGUCAGUAAGGCAUCAUCGAUCUACUAAACUUGCAGAGAAGUUAAGAAUCUCAUUUCAGCACAAACUAAUUUAUUUGUUUCCAGAAGUGAUACAUAGAAGCCAAUCGUAACUUUCUGGCACUAAGAUUGUCAAUCCAGUUUCUUUUAUUCCUAUAUAUUACAAUUUAAAGAGGAAGAAGAAGAAGAAGAAGAAGAAAAGGAAGAAGAUCAAAUAUAUUUAACUGUGUUCGAAAGAGAGAAAUUUGGGGAGUCUAUGUUUGAGCCGGAAUCGGAAUAUUUCGGCGGUGCUGGUGCUGAUGAUCAAACCGCUAUGUUUGGGCCCGAAACCGAACGUACCGUCGACAGUGCUGCUCCGAUCACCAAAGAAAGAGAAGAAGAAGAAGAAGAAGAAGAUCAUCAAACUGUGUUUGGGCUGGAAUGGGAACGAAUGGACGACGAGUUGCUCGACGCAUUGCGGCGGGGGGACGAGAGAUUCGUCAGAAUAUUAUUCUCGCCCGCGACGUCAGAAGCUUCCGUAGCCGCAGGUCACGCCUUCGCCAUUGAUCUUCCUGACGCUAACAAUGUCACCGACCGUUCCUGGAUGAAGCGACAAAAAGCUUGGUGGUUGGUACCCAAGGUUCUAAGUUCGAAUCCUAAUUGAUUCACAUUUCUACCUAAGUUUAUUUCUAAAUGAAAUAAAUAAAGCGGAUAACGUGCUACCUAUCUCAUAAAAAAAAAAAAAAAAAGCAGCUUUCUGGUGUCUUCUUUUUUAAGGGUAAUAUCCUUCCAAAAUUUAUUUUUGAAUAAUCAAAAGUAUUUUAUUAGUUUCAUACUAAAACUGGAUUUUAAAAGGGUAUUUUGAGUAGUGAGUGGUAAAUCUGAAAAUUUUUAAUUAUAGUAAGGAGGAGUAAAUAAGCAAAAGUAUCUAGUUUAAAUAUUAUUUUAAUUUUUUUCUUAGAAAACAGUACAGAACUUAUUUUAAUUUACCUAUUCAACCUUUUAAAAUUUUGAUUUUAUAAUCUAACCUUUCAAUUUGUUUGAUUUGUUUCGUUUAUCUUUAUAAAUUUAGUUAAUAUAUUCAUGCAAUUUUUACUAUUAUAAAUUUAUAAUAGCAAGUUAUUAGCUUAAACUUUAAAAUCAAAGUAUUAUUGACUGAUUCAAACUAAACAAAUUGAAAGAUUUAAAUAAUAUGAUCAAAAUUUUGAAAUGUUGGAGAGUUAAAUUAAAAAAUUCUGCUUUCCAAGUAAGUUCUAUACGUCUUUACCUUUUAUUUCUGUCCCCUUAAUUUUCAGAGAAAUGAUAAUGCCUUGUUUGAUAAAAUUACUAUGUUAUUUAUUUUCUUAAACACUAAUUCUACACAAUUUGAUGUGUUGGAAGAAAGAUUUUUUCUUUUUAUUAUUGUUAUAGCCGGUUAGCGUAUAAUGCAAUCAAUCAAGUGGUCGAUGACUACGUACUUAAAAACAGAAUUAAGAGCAGAAAAAACUUGUUUUUAAAUCAUAGAUCCUUAAAAGAGGUAAAAAAGAAACAAAGAAACAUCUCAAUCAACAUAUUGAGAGAAUUUUUUGCAUUUUAGUGUUAAAAGAAAUUAAGAUUAUAAUUCACUAGACAACUUUUGAUUGGCCAACAUAUGGAUAGCUAGAAACAUCUCGUGAGAACAACUCUCUGUAUCUCUUGUUUAUUUAUAUAUAAUUAACCUUUUUAUUUUUUUGUUUAAAUUGCUCACCUGUAGUUCAUAUAUAUGAACAUCAAUGAUAGACAUCGCAGAAAAACUACUGCAGUGGAAACCAACACUUGCAAAGAAAGUUGACAAUUCAAGAAGCACUCCCCUUCACUAUUUAGCGACGACCUCAAACACUUAUACGGUGUGUCGAUUAUUGAGCUAUGACACUUUUCCUGCUUACUUCUAAGACUACGAAGGUUUCUAUCCGAUACAUAGUGCUGCGAGAAUGGAGAGAUGCGGCGUAAUUCACAAGCUUAUUAACCGUUGUCGUGAUAUGGACGAGUUAGUAGAUAACCAAGGAAGGAAUGUUCUUCAUAUUGCUGUACAGGACAAUAGACCGACGGUCGUUAAGUAUGUUUGUCGGCAUCGAAAGCUUGAGAGAAUGAUGAAUGCAAGGGAUAAUCGAGGGAAUACGCCGCUACAUCUUGCUGUAUCUUCGCAUAACCAAAAAAUAGUGAGCCUAUUAGUGGAAAAUGGAAGUGUACAUCCCAGUAUCAAGAACAAGUGUGGACGAACUCCUCUAGAUCUUGCGAUAAUUGAGAUCGACUAUGGCUUAAUCUCAAUACAGGUAAACAAAAAUUCCUGCUUUAACAUUCUUUAUAGAAAUAUUGAAAUUCAGAAUGCAAAUAAAUAGACAAAUUGGAUACAUUCACACAUAUAUAAAUAAAUAUCGAAUACUACUAUAUAUAUGUAAAAUAUGUGCAUAUAUUGAUUUCAAUGUAAUUCUACUAUAGAUUUUAGAAUAGGAACGCUUGUUUUGCCAUUCCAAUUCGCUAGUAAUCCACAAAUCAUAUCGUACAUUCACAAUUCGCAAUUCAAAAGGGUGGUUAGCGAAUUAGGUAGCCGUCGAUGAGAGGAUAUGUGAACAGUAGUGCAGCCAGUACUUGCUAAUUGAUCCUUCUAAUGCGCUUUUCUUCUUAACUUCCAGAACCCGCAAGUCUGGAUUUUCCACUGCUUACAACAGAUUGGUGCCAUCUGCGGCCCUCAACGACUGGAUCGCUUAAUAUAUGAAAACAUCACCGUACCAAAUCUCGAGAACGAACUAAAGAAGUACGAGAGCACAGCUCAAAAUCUAGUAAUUGUCUCAGUGCUUAUCGCCACCGUGACAUUCGCUGCAGAUUUCACCAUGCCUGGGGGUAACAUAGCCGACGACCACCAAAACGGAGGCACGCCAACUCUAGCAAGAAAAUUUGCUUUCAAGGCCUUCAUAGUCGCAGAUUUCGUCGCGUUUCUUUGCUCCAUUAUGGCUACAAUUUGGCUCAUGUAUGCUGGCUCACUUGCCAUACAUCCUUCUCGUCAGGCAAAACUCAUUCUGCGGUCCGAAAACUUCAUAUACGUAGCGGCGCAAAGUAUGAUGGCGACAUUCGCAUUGUCCGCGUACUUGGUGCUGGCCCCAGUUAACAUUCUCGUCGCCCUUGCUGUCUGCGUAUUCGCUUUUCCUUCGGUCUUAUUAUGCAAUCCAGAAUUUCGGCAGCGGUUUCGUCUCGCAGUGACGCUAAAGAGAAGACUAGGAUGGUCGGCGAUGUGCGAAGCCCGAUUAAUAGGGCGACCUUUCGGACUUGCUACGAAGAGUUUUAACUGGUUCAUCUUCCGGCCGAUAGUGUGUUAUUUGCUAGUAUAUAUAUUCAUCUUUGGGGUAUCAUCAGUUCUUUCCAUCAAGCAUUUGCAUUUUACCUUAAAGCGGGCACAAUCUUUCAUUAUUAUCAUUCCAAGGACAAGCUUUUUAAUUUACACUAGUCACGUCACCCUUUUUUUUUUUUCUUAAUUCUAAAAAAUUAAAAAGGAUGGUCUAAACCCUUCGAUGAUUGGACGUAAAAAUUACACCCAAAAAAUUAGGUGUGCAUUAGUAUAUUUGAAAAUUAUUUCGAGUUAUCUUUGUACUUUUAAGCCUCCGUUUGGUUCGGGAUUAAGGAAAAAGUUCCUAUUCCAGAGAUAAAAUUAAGUUCAAGGUUAAAGAGGGGUUAAAGUUUUUUUUUGUUUGGUUGAAGGUUGGAGUUAGUCUAGAAUAAUGAAAAAUAGUGUUUAGUUGGAGUAGGUGAGAUAAAAAGAUAAUGAUUGAUAAAGAAGGAUAGUGAUUGAUUGGAGUAAGUGUGAUAAGAAAAAUAGUGGGUUAUUAAGAAUAGAAAAUAGUGUUUGGUUGGAGUUUGGUGGGGUUAGCUAACCCGUGAUAAUUUAUUUGAGGUGAGGUUAGCUAACCCCAUUCAUUGUUUGGAAUGUUUGGGGAUAAAAUGGGGGUUAAGGAGUUAUUCCAUCCCUUAACCUCCAACCAAACAAGGGCUAAUAAGAGAAUACUCCUUGUGGAGCCUUAUUCACAGUCUUAAUGUGUUUGAGUCAAUCAUUAAAGCUUGGAUUAGGUUAAUGUAUGAUGAGUGAAUAUUCGUAAGUAUUUUCUUAUUUAACUUACUUCUUCGUGGAUUCUUGAUUUUUUUUUUUUUUUGGUCUACAUAUGAAUGGGUGUAUUAUGAUCAGUUAUGCCAAUUAUAAUUAGGAAGUAAAAAUUGAUAAGAUAACGGACUGUACCUAGCGCAAGUGGCAAAGAGUUUGGUAAUUGGUAUCCGAGGUUUCAAAUUCGAAUCCUAAUUGAUUCACAUUUUCAACUAAGUUUAUUUCUAAAUAAAUAAGUAAAGCGGGUAGUAUACUAACUAUCUCUAAAAAAAAAAAAAUUGAUAAGAUGGUAGGCCUUGUUUGGCAAUUACAGGGAGUAAGGAUGUCAAUGGAUAUGAAUACCUAAAAUUUUAUCCGAACAUGAAUCUGAAUGGAGUAGAUUUAUCCGAUGCUAACCAGAUCGGAUAUGGAUAUCAAAAUUGAAAACCUGACAGAUUUGGAUUCGGGUAUGAAUUUUAAUUGUAUCCGACCUGAACCCGAAUCCGACCCGAAUCUGAAAUUAUUUAACAUUGUAUAUAUAGAAGUGUUUGAUAUUAUAUUUGAAUUUGUAUUUUAAAAAUUUAGAUUUAAUGUAAUAUAUUUUGAAAUAUUGUAAAGAGAAAUAAUUAUUUCGGGUUUGGAUUUUCAGGUUCCGGCUCGGGUUUCGAAUUUUUGAUUGGGUUCGCGUUUGGAUAUGAAUUUUUAAAAUCCGUCAUAUUCAUAUUUCAGAUUUGGUAUAGUCGGAUUCGGGUUCAAGGUUUUGAAAAUUAGCCCCGAAUCUGAGCCGUUGAUAUUCCUUCUGUUGUAAAAUUUUGGUUUUUAAUAGUUCGGUGCUGUAAUAAGUGUUUGAUUGAUUCCGUCCUAAAAAUAAUGUCUCUUGUAGAAAAUUAAUUGGCCUGCAAAGUGCGUUACGGAAAAUAUUAAUAUGUAUGGAGAGCACUCAACUAUAUAUAACCCAAGGCCCCUUAACCCUUUUUAAUUAAUACUUCCUUAAUUUAUGAUAUUUUGAAUUAAAUAAUUUUAGUCAAAUAAUUUAAUUUUAUAAAAUUAUUUAAUUGUUUGACUAAAAUUACUCAAUUUUAAGAAAUCAAAAGUUAAAAAAAUUACAAGAAAAAAAAAUAAAAUUGCUUGAGCCUCUUCUAAAAGAAAAUUGCUAUCUGUACACCAGAAAGUGGGAAUUAAAUAUUAAACCUUCCCAUUAAGGAUUUGGAAAAUUAUAUUUUAAUAUUAGAAAAUAAAGAGUAAUUAAACUAGUGUAAAACAAUUGACCUUGAAUGAUAAGUGUGUAAAUUUUACCGACUCCUUUGGACGUACAAGUAGUGUACGUGAUUGGAAAAUAAAUGGGAUGACUCAUUCAUAUUCCGGAUUGGAAUGAGAAUCAAAAUCCGAUUCUCCUAAAACUAACAACGGACGAAUAUCGAAAUCAAUGAAUCUCAUUUAAUUUUAGGAUCUAAAAUAUGUGAAUCAAACAACAAGCUGUUAUUGUCAAUUAAAGAAUUGAUGAGGAAGUGCAUUAAAUAGAAAAUACUGACCUAUAUAUGGUUGUGAAAAGUAUAUCAACGGCAUGGCUCACAUUACAUCCUAGCUAGCUCCACGGAGCUGGGGACAUACCUAACAUAGGCUGUUUAAAAGAUCUUCUGGGUAAUUAAUAAACGUAAGAUCCCCACAUACAAGAGCUUAAUUAAUUAUAAUUGACUCAAACCCAUAAUCAGGACCCUAAUAAAAUAGACCCAAACAUGCAAGGACUCUUACAUAAAAGAACAACAAUAACAAGCAAAACAAGCAGCUAACAUUAAAAAAAGACACUGACCGUCCCUAGAGCAAGUGGCAAAGGGCUUGGUGGUUGGUAUCCGAGACCCAAGUUUGAAUCCUAGUUGAUUCACAUUUCCAGCUAAGUUUAUUUCUAAAUGAAAUAAACAAAGCGGGUAGCGUGUUACCUAUCUCUUAAAAAAAAAAAAAAAAAAAAACAUUAAAAAAAGACCCUGGGAUUGCGGUUCACAGGCUCAAACUUCUUGUGAUGGAUUGGGACCUUCUUCUCGGGCCAUAAACAUCUGUAAGUAAUUGUGUGUGUGUGCGCGCGCGCGUGCGUUUUUUUUUUUUUUUUUUUUUUUUUUUUUUUUUUUUUUUUUUUUUUUUUUUUUUUUUUNUCAAAAAAAAAAAAAAAAAAAAAAAAAACACUAAAAAAAGACUAAACGCGAUAUACAAGAGUGAUGGAAUCGCCACUACAAGCGGCACUAGAAAGAUAAUGAUAUACGUCAGUAAAUAUUGCGCAUAGAUCGUGCCACACCGACUUUGCACAUCCUCCACCAUCCAAGUCUUGACCUUAGCACGCUUGCCAGACGAAAUUGCUGCGAUAUCCGUGGGCUUGCAAACAAUAGUAUCAAAGGGAAAGCGAAUAUGCAGGCAAGAAUGGAGAAGGGUUUGUCAACUGGAGCCAGCACCACAUACACCGACAUCACGAAUGCGGUCACCAUACUAUGUGCGGCCACAUUUAGGAAAAUGGAGGAGCGGAUGAGGAAUGCACUCCGAAUAGUAGGAUCUGUCGUAGGUGAGCCAGCAUACAUAAGCAACAUAGUGGCUAUGCUGGAGCAAAUAAAUGCUAAGAAGUCCGAGAUUAUGAAAGCCUUGAAAGCAAAUUUCCUUGCUAAAGUUGGUGUGCCACCGUUUUGGUGGUCGUCAGCUUUAUUGCCCCCCGGCAUGGUGAAAGCUGCGGCGAAUGUCACAGUAGCGAUAAGCACCGAGGCAAUAGCUAGGCUUUGGGUUGUGCUCUCGUACUUCUUCAGUUCUUUCUCCGGAUCUAAUCGAGUCUUUUUUUCAUCGACCAACUUGUCCAGUCGUCGUUGAGGGCCACAGAUGGCUCCGAUCCCUUGUAAGCACCGAAAUAUGAACACACUCGGGUUCUGGAAGAAGAAGAAGAAUUGAACAUGAAAUAUAUAUAUAUAUUUAAAGACCAAUUAAUAGGGUAUUGAAAAAUCCACAUUACCGGAGGAUGUUGGAAAGAGAUCAACUUAGUUAUGUUAUUCCUAUGUAUGCUUUUAUUAAUUAGGAUAAAUUUGAUUAUUUUGAACUUUAUCAUUUUAUUGGACUUUGUUCUUACAUAUCCUGUAAUUAAUAAGGGCAGAGAUGACGAGGGGCAAAGAAAAAAGAACAAGAGAAAUGGGAGAGAAAUAAAAUAAGGGUAUUCUGAUCAAUUUAUGAAAAUUUCAGUUCUAAUCUUCAAAAUCCAAAAAAAAAAGAGUCAUAUUUUUGCAAAAAUGCAAAACCAGUAAUUUUUUAUGCAAAUUAGCCAAUUAAAUACAAUAAUUAAAUUUGAAAUUAAAUAAAAAUUCGGUAUCGUAUAUGCUUAAUCUCAUGACAUUAUAAAUUUGAAUUAAUGCAAAAAAUUUAAGCAAUGAAGAUUUAAAUUUUGAAUUACACGUACUAUGUUUUAUAUGUUUUUAAGUAGAGUCAUAUGAAAACCAGAAUUAUCAUCUAUUCUUUAUCUCAUGACACUAUAAAUUCUGAAUUAAUAACAAAAUUUAUGUUAUGAAGUUUUCAAUUUUGUUAUUAUUCUAAAUUUCGGAUUUUGAGCAAAAUCAUCUACACUUUCGAAUUAUCUAUUUUAUUUCAUCAAAUUGUAAAUGUUGAAUUAUAUGGAUUUAAUGUAUUUUCUACUUUAUCUAUAUCAAAUUACUAUAAACCAACUGAAAGAAAAUUGAAUUAAAUGACUAAAAUUUGAAUGGAUAAGUUCAAUAUUCUCAUGCAAGGAAAACCUUAGGUUGGGAGCUCUCCAAAGAUGCCGCGUUAAGAAGAGCUAAUCUAUCGUCACAUGUCACUUUAUCUCUAUUAAAAUAUUAUAAUUUUUUCUCCUAAGGCUUUAAUUUUUUUGAAUUUUAGUAUUGAAAAAUAUCCAACAAACAAUUGAAUAAAAGCAAAACUAAUAUGUGACAGUAAAUCAAAUGUAAUUUUCCAACGAGUCAUUGUUAGUAAGCUCCCCACUGAAGUUUUGUUGCUCGGGAACCCUAUUACUGGAUAACAUCACCAAUACCAAAAUAAGGCUUCAUGUGAUGCAAGACCCUAGUGCAAGUUGCUCCCAAAGAUCAAUAAGCAAUGAAUUUUAAUUUAAAUUUGCUUCAAUAUAUAUGUGUGUGUGGGCUACUAUUUUUUUUUUUUUUUUGUAGUAUAUACUAUUAACUUUUGGGUCUUUGGAUCCAUACCUUUUACUUGUUGGUGGUAAUAAUAAUAACAAUCUAACAGUCCAAAAGUUACAAAUGAUGCUUCCGAAAAAAUAGUAACUCAAUUCUCUCUCUCUCUCAUAUAUAUAUAUAUAUAUAUAUAUAUACNUUAUUUUUGAUGAUAGAGUUUUUGAAUCGACGAUCCAUACAAUUAAACAUUAUUUAAAGCAUUUAAAAUUUCUAGAAAUCAAAUUUUAUAAUUUUUCGACAUCAUUUACCUUACGAUAUAAAGAUCACAAAAUUGACAAUUUUUAACGGCCGGUAUGAGAUACUUGCUAGUUUAGCAGUACAAAAAAAUUAAAAUAGGUUGAAUUUUUGAUAAAAAAUUCUAUUCAUUAUAUAAAUAAAGAUCAAUAACUCCAAUCUUAAAUUGAAGGAUUCGAUCUGUAGUAUCCUUAGUUUUUGGGUAGCAUGUAAGAUUUCAGCAUCUGAGGUUUGUCGACACAUCUAGAGAGUGUUGGGACAAGUCGGAGUCGUUUUGGCGCGAAAUAGACGCAAAACGGACUCAGUGCGACGCGAGAGCAGAGUUUUAAUAUUGGAAUCUGCAAAGUGCAGGUUUUCAGUAUUUAGUACCGGUACCCCAGUGUACUUCCAAUCAGACUGUUCUCGGGUUGCGCCAAUUUGAUGCUGAGUACCGGUGCGGCAUCGGGCUAGUACCGGUACCCUAUGUGCGAGCUUGCGAGUUGAGAGGCCAUUUGAGUUGGUAGAGGAUAUUGUAGUCUUGUGGAGAUGGUAAAGUGUAGAGUUGUCCUUUGGUUGGUGGAUAAGGAUUCCACCUACCCCAUGCUUAUCAACUCAAUUUAUGAAUACACAUAUCAACCCAAUUUACCUGAGGGUGUGCACUUUUCUAUUUCUUUCUCUCUCUCUCUCUAGUUAAUUAUAUGCUUGGUGGAGGCCACGACGGCUUGAGCUCGGAUCGACGUUGACAUUGCGCCGGAGAGCCGUUCGAGCGUGUGGACGUCGCAGUUGCACCGUUGGAGGCCGGGCGAGCGUGUGUUUUUCUUUCUCUCGACUUCUCGCCGUGGUUGGAUUAGCGUUUCGAGGUGGGUUGGAGUUUACCGAAAUCAUUGAAAUAUCUUCUAAGUUUUAGCAUAUGUCGACAUGUAUCAUUCGUUUAUUUUCUUACUAGUACUCGAAUUCAUGGAUUAGUGUUUAAAUCUGAAUUUGGAGUUAAGCCAGUAAUUUAAUUUUACAUGUUGGAUUUAAAAUUGAUUUAGGAGAAAACAUAUAGAUUCUACACUGUCACUUUCUGAAAAAUUACCAGAUUUAGCUUUUGAAGCUGUUGCGCCUUGUAUCCACGCUGUUAGUGCGCAUUUGAUAUUUGGAUAGCUUCUGAAACUGUUGUACUUUGUAUCUACGCUGUUAGUGCGCAUUUGAUACUCGGAUACCUUUAAGCGCUGUGAUUCAUUUGUAUCGCUGCUGUUUGUAUGCGGUGGGUUCCCAGAUUAGUGUAGGAUGAGUUUACGCUCGUGCUGGGAUGCCGAGCUUAUUUUACAGCUGUGUGUAGACUGUUUCGGAUUGUCGGAUGCCGUUGCGGUUGACGGUGGACCCAGUUUGCUAUUUUUGCAUCAGAUUGUGCCGAGGGUACGUGAGUUUUGGUGGUUAAACCAGUUAGACCCAUUUGCUUUGAUUAUAGCCUGUGAGAGUCUGAUUGAGCUCGAUAGAGACACGCUUACAUACUUGAUUGGGUAGCGCCCACGAGUGCCACUCCGGAUGUGGGCUUUGUGCGUUUGCGUAAAUGUCGUAGUGUCUAGUGUGGACUUGCUCUUCACCAAUUACUCAGCGUUGUGGUGGUUGGUGUAGCUUCGGCAGGCGGGACGGGUGCGUUCACAGUCCCUAGUGAGAUUGGGUCAGAGAUUGAUUUUUCUUUCCCUACAGAUAGUUAGUAUUGGAUCAUGAUAGUAUAGUGGCAUAUAGUUGUUGAUUGUUUCCAGUUCUUUUACUAUCAUUGAGCAUACUUUCUGUAAACUUAUUGGGUGAGUCGUUGACACUACAAAAAAAUGUGCCUAUGCCGACGCUUUUAUGCCGACGCUUUUUAAAAGCGUCGGCAAUUUUCUCUACUGUUAAAAUUUUACCGACGCUAGGGUUUAGCGUCGCUAUUUAUAACGCGAGAAACCAAAAAGAGCUUACUAAUUAAUUAUUAUUAAAAUCGAUGUGCCCCUUUUUUGUUAGGCUUUUCAUCAUCUCCCUCAUCUCUCUCCCGCUCAACCCCUUCUCAACACGUCUCUCCUCCGAAACAAGGGUUUGCCCGCCUCUCCUGAAUACAUGCCUUCCUCGCCUCGUUGUUGCCACCGUGUCCCUCCAGGUCGGCGCACCGCCUUCUAAACCCUUCUCCACCUCGCCGCGACUUCGCUUUCCCUUUUAUUUUCAAGGCAACAACUCGCCGGUCUCCAGCGGCGAAGGAGGAAGGCAAGCAGGGAGGAGGAUUUUGACGUCGACGUCUCGAGAAGAAUCCCUUUGUUUUCUGGUUUGUUUUUAUUUUAUCCAUUAUUUUUGGUUCUAAGUUUAAAUCCCAAGUUUGGGAGGCAUGAAGAAUGCACGAUUCAACCAAUUCCUUGGAAUUGGAUGGUAGGUUAGGAGUUUUUCCUGUGAGAUGUAAAUUUUAAUUUGUGUUUGAGUUUAGAUUUAGAGGAGAGGAAUGCAUUUUGAAAAUUUUAGAGUUCCUCUGUAUAGCUAUGGUUGGAGAGAAUAUUUUGAUGAAAAAUUUUAGCAACAGGAUCAAGUGGUGUAGUAGCGGUACCCACUAAGAACUAUUUCUUUUUGCAGUAGUUCUCACACCCAGUUGUUGACCCCUUUUUGCAGAGCCUUCGUCCGCGGCUGCUGUUGUUGCUGUUUUGGAUCGUGGAAAGGGAGUCGCGAAGUAGAUCCCUUCCUGUUUUAUUGUCGUGCUAGAGGAGUACCACCCACAGAUAAUUUUUUGGGUAUUUAUGUACAUAUUGUUGUUGUCUGGGCACUCGCUGGAGCGAGUGGUGUAGUAGACAUGUUGUAUGUACUGGAACCCCUCGAGGUUUUAUUUAUAUAUAUUCAGUUCAGUUUAGUAGCUCUUUACCUUGUGCUUGUAGCUUAAAAUUAUUUACAAGUACAGCUAUCGCUUCGUCAGGAAAAAUUUCUAUGUAUACGGCGGGUCUGUUGGCGCGGCCGGAGAACGUGUAAUCCGGGGCGUAAUAAAUUAAGUUGGUAUCAGAGCUUAGAAUUAGGUAGUUGGGACCUAGGAACCCUAAGUUUGGCAAACCUUAAGAAGGCAAGACGCGAGAGGCGUGAUUUAUUGCAAAAGUCAGCGAUUGAAUUGUUCUAAUUCCUCCUAGAGUGGAGUGAGUGAUUGAAGAAGUGUCUGUUUCGGCCAAGAAAAUUAUAUCAGCUGCAGACGACAUAAUUUUGAGGAGAAACAGGGGCAGCCUUCUAAACUUUCACUUGAUUGGAUCGAGAGUUGAUUGUGUUUUGUAUCUAACCCUUGUUUUGAUUACAGAUAGCCAUGUAUCGACACCGAGGUCGACCGUCGACGCGGGACCGUUCCGCACUAGCUGAGAUGCCAAAGCAAGCGGUACCGAUUACUCUCAUGGAUUUGAGAGAACAGUUGGCUUCCUUGACAGAGGUGAUCAAGCAGCAGGGUGUGCUAUUGCAGAGGAUAUGUGAGACUGUCACUCAGCGGUCGGGUAUUGAGCCAUGAGCAUCCGUGCAUCAGGCACUAUGGGUGGAGCAAGGAGNCUUGAUUGGAUCGAGAGUUGAUUGUGUUUUGUAUCUAACCCUUGUUUUGAUUACAGAUAGCCAUGUAUCGACACCGAGGUCGACCGUCGACGCGGAAGCGCUCGGUUCCAGAUGGCGGGGGACAGACCAGCAGUAAACGUCCGCCGAGGCCUCCACGAUCACACUCUCAGGGUCGUCAGUUCUCGGGGCGACAGUGGUCUGGUGCGUCUCAUCCGCAUUAACAGCAACAAAGGACUCCGCAGUGCAUUAUUUGUGGUGGACCACACUGGCCUCGACAGUGCGAGUAGAGAGAGGGCAAGUGCUAUGGAUGUGGACAGCCUGGACAUAUAAAGGCGGCUUGUCCUCGAGCAACAUUACCAGCGCCAUCAACGGCGUCAGCACAGCUGGCACCUCAGCAGUCUCAUAGAGCAUCACCAAGUUACCGCCAGGAUGACAGAGUAUUUGUGCCGCGGCAGAAUGAGCGGCGACAGCAGGCCUCGAGUGAUAGAGUAUAUGCAGCUCAGGUGGGAAACUCUACAGCAGCCGAUCGGGUGGUGGCCGAUAUCAUUUUGAUUUCUGGUAUUAGAGUUCGUACCCUUUUGAUACCGGUGCAUCACAUUCUUUUGUUAGCCGAGCAUUUGUGUCACUGCAUGGUCUAGAGGUAGGGCUGUUGUUGCAUGCGCGAGAGGUGCAGAUUUUCGACCAUAUUUUGCAGGUAGCAGAGUGUUGUUGGUCGUGUCCGGUGCAGUUAGAUUCUUGGAUUAUACCCGCAAACCUGUUGGUCUUAGGGCAACUGCAGGACUUUGACGUUGUACUUGGCAUGGAUUGGCUGGCACGGUACUAUACUACUAUUGACUGUGGAACGAGGACAGUGACGUUCUGCGAGCCAAGCCAGAAGGAGUUUAUGUACAGGAGCUGCCGAAGUACGUUGUUUGCCACUUGGAUCUCGUCUGCGAGGGCUAGGCAGUUGUUGAGUAGAGGAUGCAUCGCUUUUCUGGUGACGGUGGUAGAGGUGCCUACAGCGGCGCAGGGACUCGGGGAUAUUCCUAUAGUUCGCGAGUUUCCGGAUGUGUUUCCACCGGAGUUGACGACUAUGCCGCCGGACCGAGAGAUUGAGUUUGUGAUUGACGUAGUUCCUGAAACUACGCCAAUUUCGAAGGCACCCUAUAGGAUGGCACCGGCGGAGCUGAGAGAGCUAAAAACGGAGGUUUAGGAUCUGAUGGAUAAAGGGUAUGUGAGACCCAGUGUAUCGCCUUGGGGAGCACCGGUGUUAUUCAUGAAGAAGAUGGAUAGUUAACUUAGACUGUGUGUGGAUUAUCGGGAGCUGAAUAAAGUGACCAUCAAGAACAAGUAUCCUUUGCCGCGUAUUGAUGAUCUGUUUGAUCAGCUACAAGGAUCUUGUGUCUUUUCGAAGAUUGAUCUUUAGUCAAGUUACCACCAGUUGAGGGUAAGGGCCGAGGAUGUUCCCAAAACGAUUUUUAGGACUCGGUACGGGUAUUAUAAGUUUACUGUGAUGCCUUUUGGAUUAACAAAUGUCUCUGCCGCAUUUAUGGAUUUGCUGAAUCGAGUGUUCAAGCCGUUCUUGGAUAGAUUUGUAGUUGUAUUCAUUAAUGAUAUUUUGAUAUACUCCCGGAGUGAUACUGAGCAUCAGGAGCACUUGAGGAUUGUGCUACAACUUCUGAGGGAGAAGAAGUUGUAUGCUAAGCUGAAGAAGUGUGAGUUCUGGCUUCGGGAGGUUUCUUUCUUGAGCCAUGUGAUUUCUGCGGGUGGAGUAGUAGUGGACCCGAAGAAGAUUGAUGCUAUUCGGGAUUGGCCUCGACCGAAGACGGCGACUGAGGUGAGGAGUUUCCUUGGACUAGCUGGAUAUUAUCGUCGAUUUGUGGAAGGCUUUGCGAAGCUUUCCAUACCCCUCACUUGAUUGACUCGAAAGGGAAUUAAGUUUAUUUGGAGUGAGGAUUAUCAGAGGAGCUUCGAUGAGUUGAGACAGAGGUUGAUGUUAGCUCCUAUCCUUGCCCUUCCAGUUAUGGAGGAAGGAUUUGUGAUUUACAGUGAUGCAUCGCACAACGGAUUAGGUUGUGUGUUGAUGCAGUAUUAUAGGGUAAUUGCUUAUACUUCACGGCAACUGAAGGAUUACGAGAAGAAUUACCCUACGUAUGACUGGGAGCUUGCUAUGGUGAUUUUUGCUUUGAAGCUACGGCGGCACUAUUUGUAUGGCGAGCACUGUGAGAUUUUCACGGAUCAUAAAAGUCUCAAGUAUCUGUUCACCCAAAAGGAGUUGAAUCUAAGGCAGCGCCGGUGGUUGGAGUUGUUGAAAGAUUAUAAUGUUAGUAUUCAGUAUCAUCCCAGUAAGACGAAUGUUGUGGCAGAUGCGUUGAGCAGGAAGUCAAUGCAGAGCUUGAACACGUUGAUUACUCAGUAGAGACCGUUAUUUGAGGAGCUACAGUGGUUGAGGCUCGAGGUAGUGUCCUCUGGGUCUACUACGAGACUGAUGUCUAUGGUAUUGCAGCCCACUCUGUUGGACAGGAUCAGAAAGAAACGGAGUGGAGACUCGCACUUGUUGAGGAUUCAAGAGCAGUUAGAGAGAGGACAGGCAGAGGCUUUUUCUGUAGACAAUUCGGGAGCACUGCGGUACAUGGACCGACUGUGUGUGCCUAUGGAUUCAGAGAUUCAAGAGGAGAUUUUGAGAGAGGCUCACUAUUCACCUUAUACGGUUCACCUCGAUGGAACCAAGAUAUAUAAGGAUUUAAAGGCACACUUUUGAUGGAAUGGAAUGAAAAGAAACAUUGGCAGAUUUGUGGCUCAAUGUCUAUCUUGCCAACAGAUAAAGGCAAAGCAUAAGGUACCUACUGGCAAGCUUUAGAGUCUGCCAGUGUCCAAGUAGAAAUUAGAGCAGAUCACGAUGGACUUUGUCGUGGGAUUACCGAGAGCAUAUGGUGGUUUUGAUGCUAUUUGGGUGAUAGUGAACAGACUGACUAAGUCUGCUCACUUCCUACUAGUACAGAUCACCUGGUCCAUGGAGAGACUCGCUCAGCUAUAUUUGGAUGAGAUCGCCAAAUUGUAUGGUGUGCCUACCUCGAUAGUAUCGGAUCGAGACCCUAGGUUUGUUUCACAUUUUUGGAGGAGUCUGCAGACGGCCUUAGGUACACAGCUACAUUUCAGCAUAGCAUUUCACCCACAGACAGAUGGUCAGUCAGAGCGGACCAUUCAGACUCUGGAGGACAUGCUGAGGGCAUGUGUUCUGAACUUUGAAGGAGAGUGGCAUCGACAUUUGAGACUGGUUGAGUUUGUGUACAACAACAACUAUCAAACGAGCAUUCAGAUGGCUCCGUUUGAGGCGUUGUAUGGACGCAGGUGUCGAUCCCUUUUGCAUUGGAGUGUUGUGGGUGAGAGGAAGACUCUGGGACCUCAGAUUCUGAUAGAGGCAGAGGAGAAGGUCAAGGUUGUGCGACGACACAUUUUAACAGCCCAGAGUCGACAGAGGAGCUACGCCGAUACUAGGAGACGAGAUUUAGAGUUCCAGAUUGGAGAUCAUGUGUUUCUGAAAGUCUCGCUGUCCAGAGGGAUAUGCAGAUUUGGAGUACGUGGAAAGCUCAGUCCAAGCUUUGUAGGCCUUUUUGAGGUAUUGAAGCGAGUUGGACCAGUAGUCUACAGGAUUGCUCUACCCCCACGACUGGGAGGUAUUCAUGAUGUUUUUCACGUCUCGGCGUUGAGGAGAUACGUGUUCGACCACCUCCCACGUGAUUGAUUUCACUCCGCUGGAGCUUGGCGAGGACUUGAGAUACGAGGAGCGACCGGUGCGAAUUCUGACUCGUGAGAUGAAAGAAUUGCGCAACCGGAUCAUUCCUUAUAUAAAAGUGCAGUGAAGUCAUCACGAUGAGUAUGAGGCGACGUGGGAGCCGGAGACGGUGAUGCGGGAAUUCUAUCCCUACUUGUUUGAGGCUCAGGUUUGCGAUAUGCUUUAAGUUUCGAGAACGAAACUUUUUGUAGUGAGGGAGAAUGUAGUAUCCUUAGUUUUUGGGUUGCCUGCAAGAUUUCAGCAUCUGAGGCUUGUCGACACAUCUGAAAAACAUCGGGACAAGUACGAGUCGUUUUGGCGUGAAAUAGACGCAAAACUGACUCAGUGCAACGCGAGAGCAGAGUUUUAACAUUGGAAUCUGCAAAGUGCAGGUUUUCAGUGUUGAGUACCGGUACCCCAGUGUAUUUCCAAACAGACUGCUCUCGGGUUGCGCCAAUUUGAAGCUGAGUACCAGUACGGCAUCGGGCUGGUACCGGUAUCCUGUGUGCGAGCUUGCGGGUUGAGAGGCCAUUUGAGUUAGUAGAGGAUAUUGUAGUCUUGUGGAGUUGGUAAAGAGUAGAGUUGUCCUUUGGUUGGUGGAUAAGGAUUCCACCUACCCCCCAUGCUUAUCAACUCAAUUUAUGAAUACACGUAUCAACCCAAUUUACCUGAGGGUGUUCACUUUUCCAUUUCUCUCUCUCUCUAGUUAAUUGUAUGCUUGGUAGAGACCACGACGGCUUGAGCUCGGAUCGACGUCGACGUUGCAUCGGAGAGCCGUUCGAGCGUGUGGACAUCGCGGUUGCGCCGUUGGAGGCCAGGCGAGCGUAUGUUUUUCCUUCUCUCGACUUCUCGCCAUGGUUGGAUUAGUGUUUCGAGGUGGGUUGAAUUUUACUGAAAUUAUUGGAAUAUCUUCAAAGUUUUAGCAUUUGUCGACAUAUAUCAUUCGUUUAUUUUCUUGUUAGUACUCGAAUUCAUGGAUUAGUGUUUAAAUCUGAAUUUGGAGUUAAGCUAGUAGUUUAAUUUUACAUGUUGGACUUGGAAUUGACUUAGGAGAAACAUAUAGAUCAUACACUGUCACUUUCUGAAAAAUUACCAGAUUUAGCUUCUGAAGCAGUUGCGCCUUGUAUCCACGCUGUUAGUGCGCAUUUGAUACUCGGAUAGCUUCUGAAACUAUUGUGCUUUGUAUCCACGUUGUCAGUGCGCAUUUGAUACUCGGAUAGCUUUAGGCGCUGCGGUUCAUUUUUGUAUCACCGCUGUUUGUAUGCGGUGGAUACCCAGAUUAGUGUAGGAUGAGUUUACGCUCAUGUUGGUAGCCGAGCUUAUUUUACAGUUGUGUGUAGACUGUUCCGGACUGUCGGAUGCUGUCGCGGUUGACGGUGAACCCAGUUUGCUAUUUUUGUAUCGGAUUGUGUCGAGGGCACGUGAGUUUUGGUGGUUAGACCAGUUAGACCCAUUUGCUUUGAUUAUAGCCUGUGAGAGCCUGAUUGAGCUCGGCAGAGACACACUUGCAUACUCGGUUGGGUAGCGCCCACGAGUGCCACUCCGGAGUUGGGCUUUGUGCGUUUGCGUAGAUGUCGUAGUGUCCAGUGUGGACUUCCUCUUCACCAAUUACCGAGCGUGGUGGUGGUUGGUGUAGCUUCGGCAGGCGGCACGGGUCCCUAAUGAGAUUGGGUCAGAGAUUGAUUUUUCUUUUCCUACAGAUAGUUAGUGUUGGAUCAUUAUAGUAUAGUGGCAUAUAGCUGUUGAUUGUCUUCAGUUCCUUUACUAUCAUUGAGCAUACUUUCUGUAAACUUAAUGGGUGAGCCGUUGAGGUCGGUAGCGGUACCCACUGAGAACUACUUCUUUUUGCAGUAGUUCUCACACCCAAUUGUUGACCCCUUUUUGCAGAGCCUUCGUCCGCGGCUGCUGCUGUUGCUGUUUUGGAUCGUGGAAAGGGAGUCGCGAACUAGAUCCCUUCCAGUUUUGUUGCCGUGCUAGAGGUACCACCCACAGGUAGUUUUUGGGGUAUUUAUGUACAUAUUGUUGUUGUCUGGGUACUCGCUGGAGCGAGUGGUGUAGUAGACAUGUUGUAUGUAUAGGAACCCCCUGAGGUUUUAUUUAUAUAUAUUAGUUUAGUUUACUAACUCUUUACCUUAUGGUUGUAGCUUAAAAUUGUUAAUAGGUACAGCUAUCGCUUCGUUUACAGAAGAAAUUCCUAUGUAUACGGCGGGCCUAUUGGCGCGCCCGAGAAACGUGUAAUCCGGGGGCGUGACACGAUCAUUUAUUUUUAGGACGUCGUUCGAAUUUGACCGUUCACUUUAUACCUGCUUGAUGGACUUUAUUAUGAUUUCAAAAAAUUACAUAUUUAACGGAGUGGAUCGUAGAUCGUCAAUUCGAAAGCUCCAUCAUCGAAGACAACUUAUGAGUACGAAGGGCUUUAUACUCAUAAAAGUAUAGUAGUCUUACUCUAUGUGUGUGUAUAUAUAUAUAUAUAUAUAUAUAUAGAGUUCUUAAUCUAUGUGUGUGUUUAUAUAUAUAUAUAUAUAUAUAUAUAUAUUAUAUAUAAUAAUUAUAUAUGUAUCUGGUAUAUAUAAUUUUAUGUAUAUUAUAUAUACUAUACAUUAUAUAUAUUAAAUAUAUAUAUAUGUAUAUGUAAUAUUAUACUAUUAUAUAUAUAUUAUAUUAUAUAUUAUUAUGUAUAUGUCUUAUAUAUGUAUAUGUAUAUGUAUAUAUUAUGUAUUAUAUAUAUUGUAUAUGUAUAUAUAUGAUAUACAAUUAUAUAUGUAUAUGUAUGAUAUAUGUCUUAUUAUAUGAUAUUGUAUUAUAUGUAUAAUAUAUAAUACAUAUAUAUUGUAUGUUAUAUAUAUAUAUGUUUAUGCUAUAUAUACAUUAUUACAGUUAACGUAUAUACUAUUUAUAUAUUAUUAUAUGUAUAUUAUAUAUAUAUUAUGUAUUAUAUAUAUAUAUUAUCUGUCUUAUAUAUAUUAUAUUGUUAUUAUAUAUAGUAUAUCUAUACAUUCAUAAGUAUUGCUAUGAUAAUUAUAUUAUGUAUGUUAUAUAUAUUAUGUAUGUAUAAUUAUAUAUAUGUUAUGUAUAUUUAUAUUGUAUGUAUAGUAUAUAUGUUUAUAUAUUAUUAUUAUAAUAUAUAUAUAUAAUAUAUAAUAUAUGUAUAUAGUGAGUUAUAAUGUUAUAUUAUCAUACACGUAUUUAUGACUUAUAUAUUUAUUAUAUGAUUGUAUAUUAUAUAUAUAUUUAUGAGUAGGGCUUAGAAUACUUGUAAGUAUAGGGGUGAUAUUGUGAUGAUUUUUACCUUGGAUGGAGAGAUGUGAGGGUAUGAGUGAUGGUGGUUAGGUGGGUGUGUAGGUGGUGGUUUGGCUGGAAUAGUUGUUUAAUCCAAGGGUAUUAUAAUCAAAAAGUAGAUCUAAUGGCUUUAAAACUAUAGCCAUGAUGGUAUAUUGUAGUAUUAUGCUAACUCUUAUAUAUAUUAUAUAUAUAUAUAUUAUAUGAUAUAGUUGUAUAUAUUAUAUGGUUGUAUAUAUCCAUAAUAUUACUAUAUAGUAUAAUAAUAUAUAUAUAUGUAUAAUUAUACAUACAUAUAUAUAUAUCAUAUAUAUAUUAAAUAUUUAUAUAUGUUAUGUAUUAUAUAUUAUCCUAUUUAUAUAUGUAUACUUUAUAUAUGUUAUAUAUAUAUUACAUAUAUAUAUAUCCUACAAUAUAUUAUAUGUUGGUAUAUAUAUAUAUUUGUAUAUGUAUUAUAUGUAUUAUAUAUAUAUGUAUAUAUAUUGAUGAUGUUUUAUGUUAAUUUUUAUGAUAUAUAUGAAUAUAUAUAUUAUUAUAUAGAGUUGGAGCUAGAAUACUUGUAAGUAUCACUCAAGUAGUAUUGUGUGUUUUGUAGCCUUGGUAUGGAUGAGAUGUGAGUUGAGUGAUGAGGUGUAGGGUGGUGGUGUAGGUGGAAUAGUGUUGAUACAGGACUUUAGUAAUCAAGUAGAUCAAUGGGCCUAAACCAAGUCUCACUUUGGGUGAUACUUGUAAAGUUUUCUAGCCUACUUAUUUUUUAUAUGUUAUGUAUAUUUGUAUAUGUUAUAUGUAUAUUUAUUGUAUAUGUAUAUGUAUAUAUAUGUAUAUGUUAUGUAUUUAUGUAUAUAUGUAUAUUAUAUACAUAUAUUAAAUAUACAUAUAUCUAUAUAUUAAUGAUUACCUAUAUAUCUAUUAUUAUUGUAUAUUGUUAUGAUAUAUACAUGUAUGUGUUUAUAAUGUGCUUAUGUAUAUUACAUGUAUUUACAUGUAUAGAAUUUAGAUUGUUUUUUGCGAUUUUUUUUGCGUUUUUUUUUUUUGGGUGAAUACUUAUUAAUAGCACAGUUGAUUUUGGUUGAUAUUAAGUUUUCGGCCCUUUGGAUGUAAAAGAUGUGCGGAUUAUGAUAAUGUGGGCCCUAGGGUUAAUUAGUGGUGUGUUAGUUUGAUAGUUAUCGAACGGAUGAAACUGAUGCACAAUGUUGUGCUAGUCGAUAGUAUCCAGCUGGCUCUCUUCUUUUCUCUUCUCUCUCUCUUAUUAUUAUUAUAUAUAAAUUAUAUACUAUAUAGGAUGGCGGGUACUAUCUCUUAUUGAGUAAUUAGACACCUGUAUACUCAUAAGUUUUAACCGUUAAUUUAUGGGAGUGUGGUUCUAUGGCUUGAUGGUGGUCCCCCAUGUCAAUAUAUGGUUCCCCCUAGGGUUGAGUGGGUGUUGGUGAAUAGUAUUAAUUAAUGGAGUGGAAUGAUUCAAUGAAUAAUCUAGGGCCGAAAUUAUGCUUUAGGAGCAGUACUAUUAAAGUACAUGUAGCAGACUCUAUACAUAUUAUGUAUGUAUUAUACAUGCUAUAUAUACAGUAUAUAUAGAGUCCGGAUACUAUUCUUAUAAUAAGGAUUGGACCUUGUCCUAUAGUCGUUUUUGCAUGAUCGGACUUCAAUUUGCUAAUCAGCACGGUUGAAUGAUCUAAUAAUAGAAAUGUUUAGAAACCAAGUUUGUAAGUAUUUAAAUUCACUUUUAUCAAGUUUUAUCUAGAGAUUAAUGAGGGUCAUAAUAUGAUAUCUCUCUUAAUAGCGGUUAGACUUUUCUCAUCAUAAUCAGAGUUAUCAAUUAUCUAAUUAUUUAAAGAAUUUCUAUAAAAUCAAGCAUUUGGAGUUGAUCUUACAACGCUUUAAACAAGAAAUGCUCAUACUAGCGUUCAUAAAAUUGAUAGAUUUGCGACACUUAUAUACUAUGUAAAUAAUUUUUACAAUUUUUAUGAAUUUAGUUUUAAUAUGCAAAUAUUCUGGAUCAACUUCAAAAUGGCUUCGAUCAUCGAUUCGGAAAUUCUCUUCUAUCAAGAUAAUUUGAUAGGGCAUGUUCUCAGUCUAUUAUGUGCUGCUCGCAUUAUAUUUAUACUGUAUAUAUCAUUUAUAAUUAUUAUAUAAUAUUUAUUAUAUUAUCUAAUUAUAUCAAUAUACUUAUAUAUACUUCUAUUAUAUAGAGUUGAGUUGAUUGAUAUGCCUCCAAAUCGACGAUCGGCACCGUUGUAAAUAAUUUAUUUGGUGCUAUUAAUAGAAAAUUUGGUGCUAUUAAGAAAGUAACUUUAAAUUAAAAAGUAUACUUACCUUUUUAAUUUUUUUUAAACAAAAAAUAAUUUUCUUUUUUGUUGAAAUUAAUCUCACUAUCAUAUACAUAAAAUGAUAAAAUUUUAAAAAUUAUUUUUCAACUGUAUAUAACCAAAUAAAUUAUUUAUAGUUGCAUCUGUUGUAUUUUCAACUGCACGUAUCUCCAAGUAUACUAUAUUUAUAAUUAUAUCUGGCCAUGGCUACUAUACUAUUAUGAGUAUUGAAGUCCUCGUACUCAUAAGUUAUUUUCAAUAAUGGAGCUUCCGAAUCGACGAUCCACUCCGUUAAAUAUGAUCUAGAGUAUUUGAAACUUCUAGAAAAUAAAUUUCGUAAAUUUUCGAAAUCAUAAUAAAGUCCAUCAAGUGGGCAUAAAAUGAACGGUUAAAAUCGAACGACGUUCUAAAAAACGACGAUUGGAUCCUUGAAUUCAAGAUGGGAGUUAUUGAUCUUUAUCUAUGUGUGACACCCCAAUAGUCCCACAUCGGAUGGGAAUGGGGUUGUCAUUGGGUUUAUAAGAGACUUAGACACUAGUAAUAAUAACUGGGCUUAAGCAUUUUGGGCUGUUGGUUUGGGCCCAACGAGUUAUUGUUGCUAGUGGGCUGGGUCGUUACANUAGGAUGGGGCUACUAUACUCUUAUGAGUAUAGACCCCCUUAUACUCAUAAGCUUUUAACCGUUAAUUAAUGGGAUGUGUGGUUAGGAUGAUGGUGGUCCCCACUUACAAUAAUAGUGGUCCCCUAGGGUUGAGUGGGUAGUUGGUUGAAUAGUAUAAUCUAAUGGGUGGAAAUGAUCAAUGGAAUAAAUCUAAGGGCCGAAAACUUAUGACUAUAAGGAAGCCAAUACUCAUUAAAGUACAGUAGCCAGACUCUAUACAUAUAUAUGUAUGUAUAUAUACAUGUAUAUAUACAUAUAUAUAGAGUCCGGCUACUAUCCUAUUAAUAAGAUUGGGACCAUUGUCCUAUCAAGUCGUUUUGCAUGAUCGGAACUUCAAAUUGAUAAUCAGCACCGUUGAAAUUGAUCUACAUAAUUAGAAAUGUUUAGAAACCAAAUUUUGUAAUAUUUAAAAAUCAUUAUCAAGUUUAUCUUAAGAGUUCAAAAAUGAAGGGUCAUAAAUGAAUAUCCUUCUUAAAAUAGCGGUUAGACUUUCUCAAUUCAUAAUCAGAGUUAUCAAACAUUAUCUAAAUAGUAUAAAGAAUUUUCUAUCAAAAAUUCAAGCAAUUUGGAGUGCUCUACACCGUUAAACAAGCAAAUGGCUCAUAUAGGCCGUCAAAAAUUAUCGAUUUUACGACACUUUGAUCACUAUGUAAAUAAUUUUUAAAAUUUAUGAAAUUUAGUUUCUAGAUAUUUCAAAUACUCUAGAUCAACUUCAACGGCUUCGAUCAUCGAUUCGGAAUCUCUAUCAUCAAGAAUAAUUUGAUAGGACAAGUGCUCCAGUCCUAUUAAUAGGAUAGGAGCCAUUGUCCUAUCAAGUCGUUUUGAAUGAUCGGAACUUCAAAUUGAUAAUCAGCACCGUUGAAAUUGAUCUACAUAAUUAGAAAUGUUUAGAAACCAAAUUUUGUAAUAUUUAAAAAUCAUUAUCAAGUUUAUCUUAAGAGUUCAAAAAUGAAGGGUCAUAAAUGAAUAUCCUUCUUAAAAUAGCGGUUAGACUUUCUCAAUUCAUAAUCAGAGUUAUCAAACAUUAUCUAAAUAGUAUAAAGAAUUUUCUAUCAAAAAUUCAAGCAAUUUGGAGUGCUCUACACCGUUAAACAAGCAAAUGGCUCAUAUAGGCCGUCAAAAAUUAUCGAUUUUACGACACUUUGAUCACUAUGUAAAUAAUUUUUAAAAUUUAUGAAAUUUAGUUUCUACAUAUUUCAAAUACUCUAGAUCAACUUCAACGGCUUCGAUCAUCGAUUCGGAAUCUCUAUCAUCAAGAAUAAUUUGAUAGGACAAGUGCUCCAGUCCUAUUAAUAGGAUAGUAGCCCUAGCCCAUAUAUAUAUAUAUAGAUCGGCUGGGAUACUAUCGAUAGCACCAAGCAUUUGGUGCUANNNNNNNNNNNNNNNNNNNNNNNNGAAUGGGGUUGUCAUUGGGUUUAUAAGAGACUUAGACACUAGUAAUAAUAACUGGGCUUAAGCAUUUUGGGCUGUUGGUUUGGGCCCAACGAGUUAUUGUUGCUAGUGGGCUGGGUCGUUACACUAUGUAGUGAAUAGAAUUUUCUAUUAAAAAUUCAACAAAUUCUGAUUCUUUUACACCGUUAAACUAGCAAAUAUCUCAUACCGGCCGUUAAAAAUUGUCAAAUUUGUGACCUCUUGAUCGUAAGGUAAAUGAUGUCGAAAAAUUAUAAAAUUUGAUUUCUAGAAGUUUUAAAUGCUGUAAAUAACGUUUAACGGUGUGGAUCGUCGAUUCGGAAGCUCUAUCAUCGAAAACAACUUAUGAGUACGAGGGCGAUCGUACUCAUAAUAGUAUAGUAGCCGGACCCAUUAUAUCUAAUCAAACGGCUCCUUAGAGUAGGAAAUUGAAUUACCUGCAAAUAGUGGAGGCCAUAGUCGCGCCCGUCUAUUGCAAGAUCUAGAGGUGUUUUACCAUCCUUGUUCACAAUGUUUGGGCGAACGCUCAUGUUUUCCAACAGAAGACUCACUAUAGUUUGGUUAUUGGAUUUUACGGCAAGAUGUAAUGGCGUAUUCCCUUCACAAUCCCUUGCAUUCGUUAUUCUCACAAAUAAUGGAUGCUUACAGAUGAACCGAACUAUCUUCGCUCUUUUGUGCUGUGUAGCAACAUGUAGGAAAUUCCUUCCUCUACCAUCCACUAACUCGCCCAUAUCAGGGCAAUGGUGAAUAAGCUCACGAAUUAUAGGGAGUCUUCCCAUCCUAGCAGCAACAUGUAUAGGGCAUAAUCCUUUAGAGUCUGAGAAGUAAGCCGGAGAAGUGUCAUGUAUUAAUAGUUGGCGCAUCAUACGUCGGUUAAAAGUUGUUGCUAAAUAGUGAAGGGGAGUGCUCCCUGAGCUAUCAACUUUCUUUGUAAGCUCUGGCUUCCAGUAGAAUAAUUCUUUUGCAAUCUCUGUUAUGGAAAUUCACAUUAACAAUAAAGGGCCAAAAGAUUUUAAAAAAACUUAAAUCUGAAGAGAAACAAAAGAUAUAUAAAGAGUCAUUUUCACAUGCAAGAUAUUUUUCAAUAUAUUGUCGAGCUCAAAAUGAUGUCGAAAAAUUAUAAAACUUGGAGCAUAGCGACAUCACAUACGCCAAAUCAAGUUUACCAAAAACAAAGUGGACGCACGAACGAAAAUGCCCUUAGAUUUCCAAAGUAGACUUAAAUUAGCUAAUAAAUUUUCAUUCAAUGUUAUCUUUCACUUCACUAAUUCUUUCACUUAUCAAUUUAACCUUUUAAAUUAAUUUAUAUUUAACAGAUAAAUCAAACUAAAUAGUGCUACGAGCGAUUUCUUUAACCGCCAACUCGAUCAAAACCCGCCUUCGGGAAGCGUGUGAGGAGGCGGAGUGGCUACGAAUGAUAACCCUCGAAACUUGCGCUCACCGUUGAAUCAAACGAUUCGGCUGAUGAGGGAUCGGACCAGCCGAGUUCAAUCCCACACAGUAAUUUCAGUUCGACUGGAUUAGUCGAGUCAAGAAAAUAACACAGGCCUUUCUGUUCGGCUGAAGAGCCGAAAAGUUUUUAUAUUGCUCAAAACUUAGGAAAAUGUUUACAAAAUGAGGCGUGCGCCACUAUGGCGUACAGUCACGAAAGAGAAUUUAUUCUACAAACUACUAGAAAAGACAGUAAAUGUAGGAAAAAUAAAAAAAUUACAAGUAAACUAUUCCUAGAAAGCAAUAAAAUGCUGAAAUUAGAAGUAUUAAAAAUGCAGUGGUCUUCUCGUUCGCAGAAAAAAAAGACUCCUCUACCAGACAUCCUCUAUUUAUUUAUAGCUCCGCCUAUUGGUUAUUCAAUUAUUUUUCACCAUCGGCCACAUUUCUGUUUCUGUAGAUCAGUUUUGGUCGAGAAACUAAGUCGGCUAUAACCACUCUUUAGUUUUAGAUACAUCUUUUCUCAAUUCCUGUCACACCAUAUGUGGUCUAAUUGUUGGCUUUAGGGAUCGCUCUCACAUAGCAAUAUAUUUCGAAGGACAUUUAAAUUAACGAAACUAGUACAACUUUCCGAAGCAAUAUAUACACCAAAAAAUUAUCCCAAUUGUGAACUAACAUGAUUGAUAUCAAUAGAUAUAAUAAAAGAGGAACUUUACUGUGGCCACGUGUCGGCCUCUCAGCGUCCCCCCUCCCUUUCGAGCCCUUCGCGAGCGCGCGAGGAACGGGCAGGCUCUCUCUCUUUCUCUCUUCCUCUCUCCCUCUCUCUCUCUCUCUCUCUCUCUCUCUCUCUCUCUCUUGGGCCCGCGCGAGAGGGGCGCAUGUCGCGCACAAGCCAGCCCCCCCAGCUCUCUCUCUCUCUCUCUCUCUCUCUUCCCCUUUCUCCUCUCCCACCCCGGUUCCCUCCCCUCUUUCGCUCUCUUUCUCUCUUUCUCUCUCUCCCCCUCUCUCUCCCAGGCUUUCCCUCUUUCUCUCUCUUCUCAGUGUUGCGCGCGCGCGUGAGGCGCGGGUAGCUCACAUAGGGGCCCUCCCCCCCGGCUUCUCUCUCUCUCUUCCCUCUCUCCCUUCUCCCCACCCCCGUCCCCCCUCUCUCUCUUUUUCUCUCCCGCGAGCUGUGCGUGCGCGUGGUCGCCCGCACAUGGUAGGGCGCGCCCUGGCUCUCUCUCUUCUCUCUCUUCUCUCUCCACAUCUCUCCCUCUCCCCACCCUCGGCUUCUCUCCCUCUCCUUCUUUUUCCUCCUCUCCCCUCGGCUCUCUCUUCUUCUCCUCUCUCUUUUCCCUCUUUUUCCUCUCCCUCCCCCGGCUCUCUAUCUCUAUCCUUCUCUUUCCCCUAUUCCUACUUCCCCGACUCUCUCUCUUUCUCUCUGACCGACCGCGCCGCGAGCAAGCGGCGUGACGGGCGCCGGCGCGGCCUCCUGCACACGUGGGCAGCGGGAGGCGGAUGCGAGAAGGCGCGUACGCGAGUGGCACGGCGGUGCGCGGCGCGCAGGGUGGCGCGAGCGGGCACGGCGGGCGAGCCGCGCGGGACUCGAUCCGCGCGGGGUUUUUUUUUUUCCCUGCUUUUUUCCGGCGGACCAUUGCUAUCUCUCUCUCUUUUUUGAAUUCUUUUUUAUUUUCUAAGCCUUCUUAUUUUAUGAGUGUUAUUGACCUCAUACAAAAAUAAAUUUAAUUUUAAUUUAAAAUUAAAUUUAUUAUUAAUGAUUUUGAAUGUAUUGUUUAACUUUAUAUAUUUAGUUAGUAUAUUUUACGUAAUUAUUGUAAUUAAAUAUAUUUUAAAGAAAAACUUAAUUGUAGUGUUUUUUAUAAAAAUGGAUUACCUUUUUACAUUUUAGAUUUUAGUCUUCAAAAUUUGAUUGCAUUGUUUAUCUUCAUAAAUUUAAUUAAUAUGCUUUAUAUAAUUUUCGUAACUAAAUUUAUUAAAAUAAGUAUUACUUUAAACUUCAUCAAACUCUCUUUUUACUUUUAAAUGUAUUUCUAUUUAAUAUAUAUAAUCUAAAUUAUUUAAAAAUUUGAUUGGAUUAGAAAAAAUCAAAUUCUCUCGGCACAAAUUAUUAAAGAGAAAAUAAUUAAAAUAAAGUAACUGCAGUCAGCCUGUCCUCCAUUUUUAGCUGGGCUUAUUUGAUAGCAAUUACAUUUGCAGUGGCCAACAUACCAUAUCUUCUUGAUAGCAACAAUGAUGCCGAAGGCAAUGUAAUUGCUGAAAUCUUCUACCUCAUAUUCAAGAAAAGAUAUGGAAGUGGAGCUGGAGGGAUAGUCUGCUUGGGAGUGGUGGCAGUUGCCAUAUUCUUUUGUGGUGUCAUCAUAGUCACAAGCAAUUCCAGAUAGAAGUAGCUUUUCCUUAAAUAAAACGUAAUUAGAGAUACAUGCAGUUUAAAAUUUUAGUAAUUUUAUUUGCACAUAAUCUGUUGGGUAACCCAUUCAGUUGGGGCCCAUACCUACCCCACCCCACCCCACCCCACCGCCUCCCACCUCUUCUCUGCCUUCCACUCUCUUUCUUCGCCACGUGGCAUUGAUGACUGAGAUCAACAUUGUUCUUUGAAUAAGCCAAAUGACUGAUUCUUUUGUCUGUAGGAAUGUGUUGCGAAUUUUUGUAGUAUAUUAGUCAUUUGCCACCUUAGUCAUCUUUUCCUUCUAAUUUAUGAUAACCAAUUAUCUACUUAACUCCUAGGUGUAGGCUAAUAUCUAUAAAUAAAUAUGUAAGUUUGUUUUUAUUUGUUUAAUUAUUGGUGCUCAUUUUUAUGUUAAAAACUACGAUUCUUGUUGGUAACUUACUAUAGAGUAUAUAUAUACUUGAAUUUAGAUAUAUUUUAAUUGGUUUAUAUGCAGGCCGUAUUGAUGAUUCCCCUGUCAUGCUUGCCCAACCUCAAAUUUUUAUGAAUGCAAGUGGUGAGUCUGUAAGUAGAUGCCUCUAACCUAUCCAAAUUAUGUACAACUAUCUGAAGCAAUUCUUAUUAUAGUUCUAUUCCAGUUUUAUGAUGCAAAUUAGGGCUUCUUCAUGUAGGUUGGUUCGCUGGUUUCAUAUUACAAGAUACCACUGAAUUAAGUACUUCUGGUAUAGCUAUUGAUUGUUGUUAUGCAACUAUUGAUAUUUAGUUCUUACUAUUAGUUUUUGCUGGGUUUUUUGUUUUGUUACUUUGCAGAUGUAUGAUGACUUGGAUUUACCUUUUGCAAAAUUGCGGCAACUAUAAAAUGUCAAAACUUAAAAUUUAAAUUUUAACAUUUAAAAUUGAAAUUUCAACAUUUAAAAUUUAAUAUUUGAAUUUUUUCAAUUCAAUUUAUAAUUUAAUAUUUAAAAUAUUGAAUGUUGAAAUUUAAAAUUUAAAACUUAAAAUUUAAAAUGGUAUAUUUUUCCUUAAUUACUAAAACUAAUUUUAAAAUUUUUUUGUUUUAAGUUUUAAAUUUUAAAUUUUAGUUUCUAAAUUGUAGAUUUUAAAUUUUAUAUUCAAAUUAUAAAGUUUAAAAUUUUAAAGAUUAUAUAUAUUAAUUUACUGAAAUAUAUCAUGAAAUUUCAAAUUACCUAUCUGAAUUCCUAAAAAUUCAAAAUUACAGCAAGUUAUUUGAUGCACAUUAAUGUUUAGAAUUAGAAAAAUUUGGAAUCAAUAAAACUCUAUAUAAAAUCAUAUAUUCAAAAUAUAUAAACUGAAUUAAGAUAAAAUGUAUUUUUUAAAAUUCAAAUUUUCAAAUUGUUAGUUUCAAGUUUCAGGAUUUAAACAAAAGAGAGUUAGAAAUUUUAAAUUUUAAAUAAAUUACAUAAAUUUUCUGGCGUGAAGCGCGGGCCUACACUAGUAUAUAAUAAUGAAUUUAUCAAUAGAUAUACAAAUAUUCUUUUAUUUUAAUAAGAAUGAAAUAUGUUUUAUGCUUUUUUAGAUUCCGCGGGCCGGUCAAAACCUUUUUAAAAGGCCUAUAUGGUUAUAUAUGUACGUAGUAUAAUUAUAGAUAUAAUAUAGGACUAGUCUAGUAUGCGUUACAUUCAAACCCUUUCACUGUAUCACAUGACGUCCGUGUAACUUCAAAGCUAAAUCUGGUAUCUAGCCUAAUUAAAUUUCUGCUAUUGAGCUAACAAUCCUAAUUUAAUUAGAUUUUAUCUUUGCAUCAGAUAACUUCAUAUUUAAUUAGUCCAAUUCUAACAAAAUAUGUAUUAAAAAAAAAUAAUAAUGCAUGAGUUGCUGGUCGAUUACCCGGGCUUUGGAUGAUGGCGGCUGCAUGCAGUGCAGUUUGCCCGUUCGGUCCGCCAUAGGAUGCCUCUGGCGUGUCCCCUCCGUCAGCAUGGGACCCUAUCAGGACCUGAACAACUUCGAGCGAUUCCGACAGCACGGCAGCAUAAAGCGGAGAUACACCAUUAUGGUCGUCUAUAGCCGCCAGCCCGGGAUCCGCAGACAUCAAAACUUCGGCCACCCACGCAUCGCCUUCUUCGGCCGCCACAUGUAAUGCAGUCUUCCCUUCCCGAUCUGUGGCGCGCAGCACCGCCUCCAACCAGCUCCUGUCCUCCUGCCGCCUUGCUAUGGAAAUGAAGAGGGACACGAUCUGGUCUGCCCCAGCCCUCGCAGCGCAGUGCAGCGGCGUCUCGCCGGCCACAUUGCGCGCCCUCAAGAGGGAGCUGUCUCUUGCGCAGAUCAGCGCCGCGAGCUCCAAGUGCCCAAAAUCAGCCGCGAUAUGGAGGGCCGAGUUUCCGCCUACGGUAACUCCCCCCCAUCUCCUGCGCCCUGCUUGACGAGCGACAUUAUGAAGAUCAAUGGCCAUAGAUACCUCUUGCGAGAAGAAUCUUUCGACGGUGCUCUCGUCCCCUCUCUGCAAUGCCUUGAUCAGCCCAUAGUCCAAACGUUGUCGUUCGCCGGUCUCCCCACCAGCAACUGCGGCAGCCAUUUAAGCUGAAACGGAAACAAACAAACUGAUGAGUUAACAUGCAAGUGCCUGUAAUUAAGGAAAUGUUAGCUAUAUACACAUUAAUUUCAAAAGGAUUUUAUAGAUCUUACAUUCCCAUGCAUCCUAGAGUUUACAAAUCCUUUUAGAGUUUUAAAUAUUAUAAAAAAUAUAUAUAUAUAUGGACAAGAUAAAGAUGUGAUAAUGGCCCUUGCAUGAAGAGAUAUAUAGGAUUGACACUACUGAGAAAUAAACAAAAGAAAAGAAGAAAAAAUUGCUUCUAUACCGUUUGUAUAAAAGAGGAAAGUUUCUCUUUCUUGCUUGUAAUUUUUUGAAUGAUAGUUAAUGCCUUCUGCCCAGUACCAGCUUUAUAUAGGUGGAAGACGAAGAUGAUCGACUUUCUAAAAUAAGUUUCCAAACAUGUAAUACUAGCUUCUCUAGCACACGAACACAUUGAAACAUGAAGAAGCAAACUUCAUUCCAAACUUGCUAGGUACGUAGGUUUUAUUCAGAAGUCAGAAUAAGUUAUUCAAAUAUAACUUAUUCGCGCGGUACAAAAAUUUUCUAGUAUGACCGUAAGAAAGAAGUUUGACACUUUUACUCAAAAGAUCUUGAUAUUCAUGAUUGGAUACGCUAUCAUAUUUCAUUUACGAGAUAAUUUAUUUUAUUCGAAAAAAAUAGCUAGAAGAUUGAAUAUAGCAAUCUAAUUUUAGACAUUUGAUCACAUUCCUCAUUUACCAAUAUGUACUACAAGCUUUUCAAGUAGAUUGUACAGAUAUAUCGAAGAAGGUGCUUUUCUUCAUUAAUCUACAUUCCAUGGAAGUAGUGUUUUUUA
rnacentral:lncRNA from 1 species